AACAUUAAAACUCGGCAUUUCAUCAAACACUUGGAGUGCGUGUUCGAGUAAUCGCGCACGUCCAUAAAAGCUAAUAACAUUGCAGAAAAUUAUUUCCUCGGGAAUAACACGGGUGUCGUGUUUGAGCUGGUGAAGGAUUUGCUGCAUUUCGUCAAACAUCUUGGCUCGGCCAAGCUUAGUGAUGAUAAGGUCAUAGUGAAGGAGAUUGUAGCGAAAGGGUUUUAAUGGAGGGGCUUCAGUGUCAUUGGCAUUAGGAUUAGGGUUUUUGAAGAGUUGCAGAGCGAGUUUCGGGUGUUUUUGGAGGUGAAGAAGAGAGGCGAGCCUGAAGGGAGAUGUGGGUUUUGCUUUAUUCAUGUAGUUUUUUUAGAUGGGGUACUGAAACUUGGAAACGCAGUUAAUAAACAUUAAAGAUUGCCUUAUUCAGGUAGUUUUGUCUAGUCAUAUUUUUUAAAUUUUUAUUAGUCGAUCACAAAGUUUGAGAGACUCUUUUAUCUCACAAAUAUCACAUUUUCCUUAUGAACAGAAAAAAUUUGUACACACAUAAUCUUGAUUUUCUGAAAUAUAAGCAUGAAAUCAUUUUCUUAAAUAUUGACGGUGUAAUCAAGACUAUUAUGUGAUUUAUUCAUUCAUAUAUAAAAUGGCAAGAAUUAAAAUCAUUAAGGUAUAUACAUGUGGUCAUUAUGUCAUACUUGUAUGAAAAUAAUAUUUUACAACACCCAAAGUGCUUGUCUGCCCAAUACUUUAUGUCCUCUUUUGAGCAUUUUCAUAUAUAUAAAUAUAAGUAAAGUAUUAAAGAGAAGAAGCAGUUAAGUGAUUAAAACUCGAUUGAAACGUUCAACCUAUCAUGCAAUCAAAUAAAUCAUCGGGUCAUUGCUAAUUUUUAUUUUUAUUCAAUAAUCUUAGAGAUUCCAAUGUUUUAGUUUCAACUUCAUUCCUGAUUCUAUGUGUCAUUUAUUUAUUAAAUGAUGGAUUUCACAACUUGUACAUUUCUUUAAUUACUAUCUAAUGGAUGAAUGCUACAUCAACUAAGACUUAAAUUGAAACUCAAAUGUUAGGAUGCCUAACUCAAAUAUUAAUGCUACUUGUGCACUUGGUUAAAAACAAAAGAUUGUUACUUGUACACAACGGCCACGUAAAUAAAUUGAGAAACAUCCCCAGUUUUAUCAGAGGAAAUUUAUAUAUUGACCUUAAUUAAAUACUAAAUAAUAUUAGACUUUAUGAUGGUCUCAGUCACUAAAGUCUUUGCAAAUUGAAUUCAUCAAUGAAAAUGGAUGCUUUACAGGCGACUCAAUCCCAAGAAAAUCAUGAAGGAAGUUAUGAUUCGAGAUGAAGAUGAUGAUGAUUAUUUUUCUUUUUCUCUUAGUAAAUGGAUGCACAGUUAGGAUAAUAAUUUUGUUUUCAAAAAAUUUGUACACACAUAAUCUUGAUUUUCUUAAAUAUAAGAGCGCAAUCAUUUUCUUAAAUAUUGACAGUGUAAUCAAGACUAUUAUGUGAUUCAUUCAUUCAUAUAUAAAAUGGCAAGAAUUAAUGUUGCGUUUACUUCAUGCAAUGAGACUGGGGUAGAAUGAAAAUGGGUUGGGAAUGUGAAUGGGUUGAAAUGGGAAUGAGAUUCCAAUGUUUAUUUGGCAAAAAUAAAUGGGAAUGAGAAUGUGCUGGAAUGUCGUUGAUGUGUUAACUUGGCAAAAUAAAUGGGAAUGAGGAAUGAAAAUGAGAAUCAAUUUACCAAAAUACCCAUAGUAUUAAAUAAUGUAAUUUUCAUUAACUAGAUACAUGUAUAAAUAUUAAUUAUAAAAAUGAUAUUAAUUAAAAAAAUUAAAUUAAUAAUAAUAAUAAAUGUUAAUAAUGAUAAUAUUAAUAAAAAUAAUAAUAACAAUAAUUAAUAAUAACUAAAAUAAUAAAAUUUAACUGUAAUAAUAAUAAUGACAUUUAAAAUAAUAAAAUUAAUUGUGAUUUGAACGAGGGAAAUUCGAGAAAUAUGAAAAAAUUAAAGGGAUAUAAAAGUCAGAUCAGGGAAUGGGAAUCCCCAUUCCCAACCCUCCAUGGAAUGAGAUUCCCAUCCCUUAUUCCCAAAUUGUGUGGGACUUACACAUUUUAUUUCCAUUCGCAAAUUACAUUCUAUCAAGUAAAUAUAGGUUUCAUUCUCAUUCCUUCAUUCUCAUUCUCUAAACCAUCAGGUAAACACACCAUAAAAUCAUUAAGUAUAUACAUAUGACAAGAAUCAAGAUCAUUGUGUCAUACAUGUAUGAAAAUAAUAUUUUGCAAUACCCAAAGUGCUUGUCUGCCCAAUAUUUUAUGUACUCUUUUAAGCAUUUUCAUAUAUAUAAAUAUAAGUAUUAAAGAGGACAAGCAGUUAAGUGAUUAAAACUCAAUUGAAACAUUCAACCUAUCAUGCAAUCAAAUAAAUCAUUAGGUCAUUGCUAAUUUUAAUUUUUAUUCAAUAAUCUUAGAGAUUCCAACGUUUCAGUUUCAACUUAAUUCCUAAUUUCAUGUGUUAUUUAUUUAUUAGAUAAUGAAUUUCAUAACUAAUAAAUUUCUUUAACUAUUAUCUAAUGGAUGAAUGCUACAUCAAUUAAGACUUAAAUUGAGACGUAAAUGUUAGAAUGCCUAACUCAAAGAUUAAUGCUACUUGUGCACUUGGUUAAAAACAAAAGAUUGUUACUUGUACACGACGGCCACAUAAAUAAAUUGAGAAACCUUCCCAGUUUCAUCAGAGGAAAUUUACAUAUUGACCUUAAUUAAAUACUGAACAAUAUUACACUUUAAUUAUGAUGGUCUCAGUCACUAAAGUCUCUGCAAGUUGAAUUCAUCAAUGAAAAUGGUUGUUUUACAGGCGGCUCAAUCCCAAGAAAAUCGUGAAGGAAGUUAUGAUUCGAGAUGAUGAUUAUUAUUUUUCUUUUACCCUUGGUAAAUGGAUGAGAUUCAAAUUGAGAAACGUGAAGGUCGGUUGCUAGAACUUCAAACAAAAAAAAAAUUAUUGUUAAUAGGUGCAUCAGCUGAGAAUAGUUACAAAACUUUUAAAUUAGCUUUUAAAUAUGAGUUAACUCUAUAACAGACAUAAAACAAUGAAGAGAAAAUCGGAAACACAAACCAAUAGAGUAAUGACAUGAGUAUAUAUUAUGAUCAAUUAAUUUGUCUUUUAAUUAUUUUUCAAAAACAUUAAUAAGUAAUUAAGUUUUGCUUGACCAAGUGGUUUUAAAGAGUUUGAGUUCAUUAAUUUGACUUGGUCCACUUACCUACCUUUCUGGAGGGCCAAAAAAAAAAAAAAAGGCGAGGUUUGUACUUUAGUUAAUUAUUUUUUUUUUCCACGUUGAUGCGUGUAUCCUUGUGGAGGUAAUAAUUAAUAACAAGUCAUAACUAGUCAUGAUCCAAUUGGAAGGGAAAACUAAUUUCCAAGAAUAUGCAAUGAUCAAAUCAAAUAGACCAAAAUCUCUAGACGACCUGGUAUUAUAUUUUUUAAUAAAAUCGUUAACUGAAACUUGAUGAUCAAGUCAAAUAUUAUCAAAACGGGUUGACUGACAUAGGUCCAUUCUUCACUUAACUGAUUAUCUUUGAAGACUUAAUUUGCUAUACAAAGGAUUUGUUGCAAUUGUACAUGUAUCAACUUGUUUUCUUGCCUUAUUGUUUUCUAUUAAUUUUUGUGAAGGCUAACAGAGCAGAUCAUAACAGCAACGGCAGUGGGAAGUCUCUUAGCAGGGGCUAUUCUAGGUGUUGCGUUUCAAGAGAUGACGGUGGCGAUUAAAGAAUCAAAGUCAAGGUGCAGCAACUUCAGAGACGCCCUAAAUAGCCUCGAAAACACCAUCAACCUGUUAAGUCCUUUGAUCAAAGAAAUGGAUAGGUUAAAUUGAGAGCUGGAGGACUCUAAUAAAAGAGAAGAGAUCAGUCGUUUGUUUCUUCAACAGCUGAAGAAAGGGGAAGCUCUGGUUUCAAAGUGCUCAAGCAUCCGUCGCUGGAACUUGUACAAGAAGAGGAAAUACGAAAAAAGGCUUCGGAAUAUGGAUUCUUCUCUUCGUGACCUUUCCGCAGUGCUCCAGGUUGGACAAGCGCUUGAUACCCAGCGCCUUCAACGUAUAAUACAAGAUAUGUACCACUAAUUAAUUAAGGGCGCCGGGCACGAUUACUUUUGUUAUGCCCAGCCGAUGGGUUGCCGCAGCCUAGCUGUUGGGGCCUGUGAGUGCUGAUAUUUAAAAUAAAAAAAAUUAACAAAUAAAAUUAUGAUACUGUGGGUGUUAGAGAAAAAAUAAUUAAUUAAUAGUAUAACUCUGCAAGGUAUGAUAGUUCAUUAUUUUGUUGGAAAUAAUGCGUAUCGAAUUAUUAUGUUAUAAUAUGGAAAAAAAAGUUUUUUAUAUUAAAAAAUUAUCAAUAUAGAUUUUUUAAAUUUAUUUUUAAAAAAUUUAAACAUACGCAUACUGCAUGGGACUUAUGACAUGCAACCUACCCCAGUCAACUCAUUUGAUAAUACAUAACUUGAUCGCUUGAUCUGCAAGUUAUAUUGUCCUCUCAAAUUAUUAAAAAAAAAAAAAUUGAUCUGCAAGUUUCAAUUAACUAUUAGUAAUAACAUCCAUUCGUCUAGAACUCGGCAUAUUGAUUUCAUCAUUGCAUGUUCUUAGAAAUUUCAUCAUGACUAGUUAGUAGUUAACUAACCACCUUCAAGGAAAGAGUAGUAUGUACAAAAGAACAAAAAGGAGGACAAAAACGAUAAAAGAUAAAAUAAAUAAAUAAAUAAAAAGACAACUCGUUACUUUAAACUAGUUGAUUGUUCGUACACAUGUCAUUAUUCAAUUGGAUCAUGUCCUCCAUUUUUUCUCCAUUUUUGUACAUCAAUUAUGGGCUAAGGCUUCAAGCUAAAUAUUUUAUUGAUAAAAAUCAAGACUAUCAUGUAAUUUAUAAAUGGUGAGAUUUUUAAGGAGUUCUAGUCGAAUAAUUUGGGCUUUGCCCGUACUCCUACUCUAGACGACCAUAUAUAUAUAUAUAUAUAUAUAUGUACGAAUGAAAUAAGAUGAUCAUUAUAGUUACAAAAUUUUAUACAAAUUAUUUUUGUAUAAACUAAUGUGACAUUAUAUAAUUGAGAGUGAUGAUACCUCAUUUUCAAAAUAUAAUUAUAAAAGAUAGUCAGAGAACCUUAGAAAAAAAAUUAAUAGAAGGAUUUAAUUGAUUAACUAUACAAAACUUUUAUUAAUUUGUAUUUUUUAGGAAUAUUGUCAACUUAUUGUAAUUGUUUUCUAGAAAUGGGGUGGAUUUACAAAAAUAGUGGGUGGAAAUAUCCCCAUCCUAUAAUUGAUUGAACCACAUAAAUAAGAGUAAAAAUAAAUCACUUGAAAUUUUAUUAAUACCCCUUAUUUUUUUCUAAUUUUCAUAUAAUAAUAUAUUUUUUAUUUUAUUUUCAUGUAUGUCCCAAAUCGAAUCCUUUUUUUUAAUCCAUUGGAGUGAGAAUAUAUUGAAUAGAUUUUGGGGGCUAAAAUGUUAUAAUUGCUUUAACUUAUUAAAAAAAAGGUUAUUGUUUAGUCUAAUUGAAAGACAAAUAUGUCAAUGCAUUAUAGAAUUUGGAUCCUCUCCUUUUUUUUUUUUUUUACUUCUCUCUCCUUGCUUCUCCUUGCCUUCAUAAUCUAGUAAAAAAAGCUAGCUUGAUUGUAAAUAAAGUGAAAAAGACAAACACAAAACUCGAUCUUAACCACUCACUAAAUAAGGACAGGCAAUGACAGAAAAAAAGAGAAGGAGAGGAUCUUUCUCCUGUAUUAAAACAUCGAUCGUCACUGGUAUUAUAAAGUUAAAAUGGCAUAUAGUAUAAUUAAUUUAACAACAUUUUCAUAAUUUUAUGAUUUAUUUUCUUUACAGCCAUAUGUUCUCUUUUUCUAUUUAUUAUAUCAAAUUAUUUAAAUAUGUCACAUUCUCUAUUACUAAAAUAAACAAGAAUCGCAUAAAUAAUUUUUCAUUGCACAAUUUUAAUAAUUUAUAUUAUUAUAAGCUUAUUGUUGCAUUAAUGUUGUUGUUAUUUUAUUAAGUAUAUGUACUUCGCUAAGAGCUUUAAUGCUGUGUUACUCGAUAUAUGUGUUUAUUUUUUACUCCUCUACAUAUACCGGCACUCACAUAAAUACUUAAAAUAAAUAUAUAAAUUAAUCCAGACUAAUUAAAAGUCCUGAGUCCUGUUUAGUUAAUUUGCUGUCUUUGAAGCCUUAAUUUGCUAUAUAAAGGAGUAGUUGCAGCUGUGCAUGACCAACUUGAUUUCUUGCAUUAUUGUUUUGUAUUAAUUUUUGUGAAAGCUAGCAAAGCAGAUCAUAUAUCUAUAUAUAUAUAUAGCUAACGGCGGGCAAUGGAAGAACCGGUAACGAUGACGGCAAUGGCAGCGGGAAGUCUGUUAGCAGGGGCCAUUCUAGGUGUUGCGUUUCAAGAGAUAACGGUGGCGAUUAAAGAAUCAAAGUCAAGGUGCAGCAACUUCAGAGACGCCCUAAAUAGCCUUGAAAACACCAUCAGCUUGAUAAGUCCUUUGAUCAAAGAAAUGGAUAGGUUAAAUCAAGAGCUGGGGGACUCUAAUAAAAGAGAAGUGAUCAUUCGUUUGUUUCUUCAACAACUGAAGAAAGGGGAAGCCCUGGUUUCAAAGUGCUCAAGCAUCCGUCGCUGGAACUUGUGCAAGAAGAGGAAAUACGAAAAAAGGCUUCGGAAUAUGGAUUCUUCUCUUCGUGAGCUUUCCGGAGUGCUUCAGGUCGGACAAGCGCUUGAUACCCAACGCCUUCAACGUAUACUACAAGAUAUGUACCAUUAAAUAAGGGCGCCAGGCGCAUUUGCUUUAGUUGUGCCGAGCAAAUGCGCUGCCACAGCCCAGCUAUUGGGGUGUGUGAGCACUGAAACUCCAAUAACACCAUACGGUGUUAGAAGAAAAAGACAAAAUAAUCAGUCAAUACUAUAAUACCACACUGUAUUAUAGCUUAAUAAUCAGUUAAUACUCUAAUACCACACUGUAUUAUAGCUUAUUUUGUUAUCGUUUUAUGAGCUUUUCGUCUUUAGUAGGUGGUUUUUCAAUUUAUUUUAUAACAUUUCAUCUAUGUUUCCAUAAUUAUGCAAACUAAACACUUAUGAACUUUUCCUUGAUAGUUAUAGUUUUUAUUUCAUAUCAGUUAUAGCCUAAAAAUCAUAUCAUGCAUGUCGUACCAAACAAAGCCUAAAUUAAUUUUUACACAUGCAUGCGCUUCAUUGGUAGGAUUCUUUAAAGAUUAUAUCUGCUAUUGACUAUUCACACUUCAGUUAUUAGCUUCUUUUAGUUUGUGUUAAAAAUCUGCAAUUUUUUUUCGGUUAUUAGUUAAUAAAGCAUCUCAAACUUUAAAUUGGUAAUGAUACCAGGUCGUGAAGAGCUAGGUUUAAUGAUUUGAUCAUUGCAUAAUCUUGGAAAUUAAGUUAAACUUGCGGGCCAAUUUGCAUCAUGACUAGUUAACGACGGGGUUGAAACCUUGAAAGUAACGCUAAGUUUUAUAAUUUAUCUACGUCGCGUACAAGUAGCACUAAUCUUUAAUUAAAAAAAAAAAAAAAACCGAAGGUGAAGAUCAAACUUUAAAUUGGUAAUGAUACCAGGUCGUGAAGAGCUAGGUUUAAUGAUUUGAUCAUUGCAUAAUCUUGGAAAUUAAGUUAAACUUGCGGGCCAAUUUGCAUCAUGACUAGUUAACGACGGGGUUGAAACCUUGAAAGUAACGCUAAGUUUUAUAAUUUAUCUACGUCGCGUACAAGUAGCACUAAUCUUUAAUUAAAAAAAAAAAAAAAACCGAAGGUGAAGAUCAAACUUUAAAUUGGUAAUGAUACCAGGUCGUGAAGAGCUAGGUUUAAUGAUUUGAUCAUUGCAUAAUCUUGGAAAUUAAGUUAAACUUGCGGGCCAAUUUGCAUCAUGACUAGUUAACGACGGGGUUGAAACCUUGAAAGUAACGCUAAGUUUUAUAAUUUAUCUACGUCGCGUACAAGUAGCACUAAUCUUUAAUUAAAAAAAAAAAAAAAACCGAAGGUGAAGAUCAGUACUUACAUGUUCACCUGGUACAUAAUUGUUUUGGCAUCUUUUCAAACCUCUUCUUGUUCUUUAACUUGUUUGACAAGAAGAUUCGAAAUAUUUAACUCAAUUCCCUUCCUAACUCCAUUUUUAUCCCAUUUAUGUGUGCUUGACCAGUUAAUAAUGAACACCAAAUUAAUAUAAUUAAAGGGUACCAGGCUUUUUUAGUCCAAUAAUGAAAGAAUUGGGGGAGGUGCUUUCAGCAAUUUUUUUGAGAACACCCAUUCAAAUCUUCAUUGACUGAAUUUUAAUCCUCAUACUUAGGUGGCGUUUGUUUUUUUGUCUGAAAUCUGAAUAGACCUGAAUUAGUCUGAAUUCUGAAUAGGUCUGAAUGUCUGAAUCUGAAUAAUAUGUUUGUUUUUUCGUCUGAAUCUCGGAAAAUAAGUAUUAAGUUGUUUGUUUUUUUCAACUUAAAAAGCUGAAAAUAUGUACUUUUACAUUUGUAUCCUUAUUAAAUUUGAAUGUCAAAUAAAUAAUAUAUUAAAUACCAUAAUAUUUUAACAUUUAUAAGUAAAACUAUAUUCAAGUGAAUACAUAAUUAUUUUAGAAUUUUAAUAUGUAAAAUGCCAUAAAUUUCAAAUUUUAUCGUAUAUAAUAUAAGAAAGAAAAAAUAGGGAUAUUUUUAUGUGAGGUAAAUAUCUAUGGGUGAGUUUUGGGAUAGACAUGAAAAAUAAAUUAUAAAACAUGGAUAUUUUUGACAUAUGGGUGAGAUAGAUACAUCUCACUUAAUAUCGGUGAGAUAGAUACAUCUCCUCAAAAAUUGGUAGAAGGAUAGAUAGAUCUCCUUGAGUGCGCGGAUAGAGCCGUAGAGUUAUCACCUUUAGUGGGCGUAGAUUUCUAAACUAUUCCUAGUAGACUCUAGCUAUUCAGUAUACACAUUGUGUUGAGAUAGUGCACUCAGUUCUUUAAACAUCUUUUAAAACUCAAACUAUGUUUUAACAGUAUUAGAUUCCGUUUUUUUAUGAUUCCUAUAUAUUAUGACCUCCGAUUGAAAAUCUAAAGCUACCAUUGGAAUCAGGAUGAAAAAUCGAGUCAGAAGGUGCCGGACCCGACGUCACCGGAGACAAAAAAGGCGGUGCAUGGUACUGUAUCGAUAUUAGCAAGCACUGUAUUGCGUUGAAUGCAUGCACCUGAUUGUGCAUGUGAUAUAAUGUAUUAAGAUUAAUAUUUUCAAUGUAUUUUGCUAUCCGGGAAUCUGAUUUGGGCGCCGUUUGCGCUGUUUGAUCCGAAAUUUAAUUUUCUAUUUAUUUUUAAAUUAGAAUCAAAAUUUUUUAAUUUUUAAUUAUGAAAUAAAAUUCGGAUCAAAUAUAUAUUAUUUAUUGGAUGAGCAUUAUACAUUCAUAAAUAUUUUGCUCUAGUGAGAGCUCAAAAAUAUUUAUUUCAUGGAAAGUGGCUGAAAUUUGAUUAUAUCUCAUGUUUUAGGUGUUUGUUAACAAUCACCAAUAUGAAUUUUAUGUUAUUUGUCGUAGAUGCCUCCCGUUAGAAAAUUGUGGACUGAGGAAGAGGGAUUAAUGACAAUUAGAGCUUGGGUUUCACCUAUGGAUCUAAUUGAAAUUAAUGAUGACUUAUCUCAUGAAGAACUUGUGAAGAAAAUGAAAAAUUAUAAGAUGGAUCCUGAUCGUACUGUGUGUAUGAAUAUAGAAGAUAUAUAUGACGUCUUUAUGCACUUAAUGUGUGGAAAAGCGAAUACUAAGUAUACAGACUGGGAUAAUUAUCAACGAAUCCUCAUCAAUUUCUUACUUGAUGAAGAUAAUACGCUUGUCUUUAAGGCUCCCAUGUUAGAGGAGAUCAAGGAUCCCUCGUACGCAUAUUAUAUGCUGAGGUGUGAAAUUGAGCUAAUGGAGGAGCGCCGUCUUGCUUAAAAAAUGAGGUGAACUUCAGUAUUUAGUACUCACAUGAGCCUUCAAAAUGGAAGACAAGCUAGUCGCCUUGGUAGAGGGUAAAAAUUAUGGUAUGAGAAAAUGAUAAACUGAAUCAUCGAGAAAGAAUAAUUAUUUUUAUAUGGACAUUUACAUGAUUAUAAGUUGGAUGAAAGAAUCUCGAGAAACAAAGAAUAUUUUAAGAACAUGUAGAAGAGUCGAGAUAUUAGUUUAACCAUGUUUGGUUAUUUCUUUCAUUUGUUAUGUUUUAUACUUUUAGAUGUUGUUUUUCUCUUAAUUGGUUGAACAAUAUGUUGCUAUGCUUUUAAUUGAAUUUCUACAUUAGUUGUUGCUCUACUUUAUAUAUGUUUUUACGCUAUCUCAUGAAUUAUUCGAUUGAGUGGGAGUUCUGAUCAAAAUUGAAUUUGAUGAAGUCAUGAUUAGAACUAAUAAUUUUGUGCAUUAAAAUUGAAUUAAUGAUGAAUAUAAUAAAAGGAAUCGGAUGAUGAUUGGAAGUUUCGAUGACCUUUUGAUUCCAUUCUCGAUAUUAAUUUAUCAUGUUUUUUUGUUUACAUUUGCGGCAAAAUUAAUUGUUUGUGUGUAAUUAUUACAUGUCUUUAUUGAUUGUAUUUUGAAUUGUCUCUGUGUUAAAAGAAAAUUAAGAUGGCAUCUGCAUCUAAAAAUAUUGUGGCUGAGUGAAUAAGGGUGAGAAGCUAAAUGGUGACAAUUAUGAUAUUUGGCCUAAAAGAGCAAGAGACUCUAGAAGCUCUCAACAACACCUUAGUUGAGCCUGAGCAUGGCAAUAGUGCUCAACACAGGAGGGAUCUUGAGGCUUACCAACCUAGAAAAAGAAGAAUAGCAAUGCUCGCAUAACGAUGUUGAGCAGCAUGCAAGAUGACCUCAUGUGUGAGUUUGGGAAGUAUAAGACUGCUUAAGAGAUGUCGCUCGCGCUGAAAGAUAAGUUUGGUGGCACUUCGACCACUAAGCUGAGAAGCUUACGAUCAAGUUUGAAUCUUAUCGGAAGCACCAUAAUCAUACUAUAAGACAACAUCUGAGAGAGAUGUCAAACAUGAUUCGUGAACUUGGCUUCAUAUUCUGACUGAUGAACAAUAAGUCCAGGCAGUAAUAAAAUGUCUACCUGAUUCUUGGGAAUACAUGAAGGUGAAUAUGACAUACAAUGAAAGUAUCAUAACUUUCAAUGAUACAGAACAUCACCUAGAGUUGGAAGCAGAGCGCCUUGAGGCUGUUAAGCCUCCUGAUCUUGUUUAUAUGUGUUGGUGUAUAAAUACUAAUGUUAUUGGUGUCAAUGUGCAAGUGUACACAACAAGUAAUAAAGUGAUGAGUAUUCAAGAUCGUCUCNNNNNNNNNNNNNNNNNNNNNNNNNNNNNNNNNNNNNNNNNNNNNNNNNNNNNNNNNNNNNNNNNNNNNNNNNNNNNNNNNNNNNNNNNNNNNNNNNNNNNNNNNNNNNNNNNNNNNNNNNNNNNNNNNNNNNNNNNNNNNNNNNNNNNNNNNNNNNNNNNNNNNNNNNNNNNNNNNNNNNNNNNNNNNNNNNNNNNNNNNNNNNNNNNNNNNNNNNNNNNNNNNNNNNNNNNNNNNNNNNNNNNNNNNNNNNNNNNNNNNNNNNNNNNNNNNNNNNNNNNNNNNNNNNNNNNNNNNNNNNNNNNNNNNNNNNNNNNNNNNNNNNNNNNNNNNNNNNNNNNNNNNNNNNNNNNNNNNNNNNNNNNNNNNNNNNNNNNNNNNNNNNNNNNNNNNNNNNNNNNNNNNNNNNNNNNNNNNNNNNNNNNNNNNNNNNNNNNNNNNNNNNNNNNNNNNNNNNNNNNNNNNNNNNNNNNNNNNNNNNNNNNNNNNNNNNNNNNNNNNNNNNNNNNNNNNNNNNNNNNNNNNNNNNNNNNNNNNNNNNNNNNNNNNNNNNNNNNNNNNNNNNNNNNNNNNNNNNNNNNNNNNNNNNNNNNNNNNNNNNNNNNNNNNNNNNNNNNNNNNNNNNNNNNNNNNNNNNNNNNNNNNNNNNNNNNNNNNNNNNNNNNNNNNNNNNNNNNNNNNNNNNNNNNNNNNNNNNNNNNNNNNNNNNNNNNNNNNNNNNNNNNNNNNNNNNNNNNNNNNNNNNNNNNNNNNNNNNNNNNNNNNNNNNNNNNNNNNNNNNNNNNNNNNNNNNNNNNNNNNNNNNNNNNNNNNNNNNNNNNNNNNNNNNNNNNNNNNNNNNNNNNNNNNNNNNNNNNNNNNNNNNNNNNNNNNNNNNNNNNNNNNNNNNNNNNNNNNNNNNNNNNNNNNNNNNNNNNNNNNNNNNNNNNNNNNNNNNNNNNNNNNNNNNNNNNNNNNNNNNNNNNNNNNNNNNNNNNNNNNNNNNNNNNNNNNNNNNNNNNNNNNNNNNNNNNNNNNNNNNNNNNNNNNNNNNNNNNNNNNNNNNNNNNNNNNNNNNNNNNNNNNNNNNNNNNNNNNNNNNNNNNNNNNNNNNNNNNNNNNNNNNNNNNNNNNNNNNNNNNNNNNNNNNNNNNNNNNNNNNNNNNNNNNNNNNNNNNNNNNNNNNNNNNNNNNNNNNNNNNNNNNNNNNNNNNNNNNNNNNNNNNNNNNNNNNNNNNNNNNNNNNNNNNNNNNNNNNNNNNNNNNNNNNNNNNNNNNNNNNNNNNNNNNNNNNNNNNNNNNNNNNNNNNNNNNNNNNNNNNNNNNNNNNNNNNNNNNNNNNNNNNNNNNNNNNNNNNNNNNNNNNNNNNNNNNNNNNNNNNNNNNNNNNNNNNNNNNNNNNNNNNNNNNNNNNNNNNNNNNNNNNNNNNNNNNNNNNNNNNNNNNNNNNNNNNNNNNNNNNNNNNNNNNNNNNNNNNNNNNNNNNNNNNNNNNNNNNNNNNNNNNNNNNNNNNNNNNNNNNNNNNNNNNNNNNNNNNNNNNNNNNNNNNNNNNNNNNNNNNNNNNNNNNNNNNNNNNNNNNNNNNNNNNNNNNNNNNNNNNNNNNNNNNNNNNNNNNNNNNNNNNNNNNNNNNNNNNNNNNNNNNNNNNNNNNNNNNNNNNNNNNNNNNNNNNNNNNNNNNNNNNNNNNNNNNNNNNNNNNNNNNNNNNNNNNNNNNNNNNNNNNNNNNNNNNNNNNNNNNNNNNNNNNNNNNNNNNNNNNNNNNNNNNNNNNNNNNNNNNNNNNNNNNNNNNNNNNNNNNNNNNNNNNNNNNNNNNNNNNNNNNNNNNNNNNNNNNNNNNNNNNNNNNNNNNNNNNNNNNNNNNNNNNNNNNNNNNNNNNNNNNNNNNNNNNNNNNNNNNNNNNNNNNNNNNNNNNNNNNNNNNNNNNNNNNNNNNNNNNNNNNNNNNNNNNNNNNNNNNNNNNNNNNNNNNNNNNNNNNNNNNNNNNNNNNNNNNNNNNNNNNNNNNNNNNNNNNNNNNNNNNNNNNNNNNNNNNNNNNNNNNNNNNNNNNNNNNNNNNNNNNNNNNNNNNNNNNNNNNNNNNNNNNNNNNNNNNNNNNNNNNNNNNNNNNNNNNNNNNNNNNNNNNNNNNNNNNNNNNNNNNNNNNNNNNNNNNNNNNNNNNNNNNNNNNNNNNNNNNNNNNNNNNNNNNNNNNNNNNNNNNNNNNNNNNNNNNNNNNNNNNNNNNNNNNNNNNNNNNNNNNNNNNNNNNNNNNNNNNNNNNNNNNNNNNNNNNNNNNNNNNNNNNNNNNNNNNNNNNNNNNNNNNNNNNNNNNNNNNNNNNNNNNNNNNNNNNNNNNNNNNNNNNNNNNNNNNNNNNNNNNNNNNNNNNNNNNNNNNNNNNNNNNNNNNNNNNNNNNNNNNNNNNNNNNNNNNNNNNNNNNNNNNNNNNNNNNNNNNNNNNNNNNNNNNNNNNNNNNNNNNNNNNNNNNNNNNNNNNNNNNNNNNNNNNNNNNNNNNNNNNNNNNNNNNNNNNNNNNNNNNNNNNNNNNNNNNNNNNNNNNNNNNNNNNNNNNNNNNNNNNNNNNNNNNNNNNNNNNNNNNNNNNNNNNNNNNNNNNNNNNNNNNNNNNNNNNNNNNNNNNNNNNNNNNNNNNNNNNNNNNNNNNNNNNNNNNNNNNNNNNNNNNNNNNNNNNNNNNNNNNNNNNNNNNNNNNNNNNNNNNNNNNNNNNNNNNNNNNNNNNNNNNNNNNNNNNNNNNNNNNNNNNNNNNNNNNNNNNNNNNNNNNNNNNNNNNNNNNNNNNNNNNNNNNNNNNNNNNNNNNNNNNNNNNNNNNNNNNNNNNNNNNNNNNNNNNNNNNNNNNNNNNNNNNNNNNNNNNNNNNNNNNNNNNGUACGGCCAAGGCGGAUGUACGGUACAGCAGAAUCAUUGUUCCAAAUAAUUUUUAAAAAUUAUAUUUAUUUUACUCUAAACCUUUAAUUUAGUAUAGCACAAAUAUUUUUUAUAACAUACAAAUAACUAUUGGUUUAUUACUAAGUGGAGGUCAAGUUUUUUUAGAGAGAAAUUAUAACUUAUCACAAUGUGAAAUUUAUUCUUAUUUAUAACUAACCCAAAUUAUGACUAGAACUUUUUAUGAUAAUAUGGACAUUAUCCUUAUAUAAAAUGUCACUAUACAGAGGUUCUACUAUAAUACUAGUGAUGAUGUUAUAGUAUAUUAACAUAAUGAUGUAGGACAACCCUAGAUUUAAUUUCUUUUUUUUUAGUUUAAUUAGGAUUUAUUUUCCUAUUUAAGUCAUACUCCUUUUCUUAUAAGGAAUCAUAAUUUUUUUAGGAAUAUGAUAAUCCUAACUAGUAUAAAUAGGCUUGUUAUGCUUUGUUUGUAGAUACAAGUUUUUCAUUAAUAAUACUCAGUAUUUCUCAAUUGAGAUAUUUUCUCCUUUGUGAGAGCCAUCUUUCUUGAGUUUUCAAGAACGUAUGCUAGAACAAAAUCUAGUAUUGCUUCUACCUGCAUCAAGUGGUAUCAGAGCAUUUGUUUGUACUAGAUAGAACUUUUUUGACCAUCAACCACCCUCCAUAUACAAAUCCUCCCUCCAUCAUCCAUUAAUUCCAUCAACUAAAGAAAAUCAACAAAAAAAAAAAUUAGAAAAACAGCAAAACCAAAGCCAUCUGCCCACAACCACCAUACGCGGUUGCCGCUGCCACCAUUCUUCUUCUUUUCCAUUGAUCUCUACCACCAGCUAACACCCACACGCCGCCGACCAUAUCCCAACCGUUAACAUCACCAACUUGCCACCAUAUCCACUAGAAACACACCAAACAGCCACUGAACCACUGAGACCUCCGCCGCUCGAUUCGUCGAAAUCUGUCGUCACUUGAUAGCCACCACCACUACCAACCCAUCCGCCAUCACCAUCCUUUCUUUCCAGCCCAUUCCCGCUGCCAAUCGUUAGCCCGAUCAUUGAAAACCAAAAACAAACUCCAACCGCCACUUUAAAUUAAUUUUUCUAGUCAAAUCAUGACUUGAGUAGAACCACCACCACCAACACACUCGCCACUAUAAAAUCUUCCAGAUCCACCCAUCCUAGUCUAAUUUUUCAAUCACCAUCGCCGAUAACACAAACUUUUGCUUAUUUAUAAUUUUACUCCAUUACUAUUCUCUAAUUACAAUAUUAUUCUAUAGUUUCCUUUUCUUUUAAAAAACCCAAAACCAAAAACCUAAAAAAGGACCCAAUUAAAAAAAACGACGGUUUCUAAAGAAAAUAUUACUUCAUUUGAAGACAAAAUUAUAAGGGGGAUAAAGUGACUUGAACAAUCACAAACCUGUUCAGUCGAUGCAUGGCGAAACAAUGAAAGCCUUACAAUCAACAAACCCAUAUUACGACAACGAAAGAAUCGUUUCUUGGAGUGAGGCAAGAAUUAAAAGAAAUUAAACUUGCCCAAAAAAGUAAUCAGGAAGCAAAGGGUAUAGACAUUGUUGAUUCAAGAAAUAAUUUUAGUGAGCAAAAGAAGACCAACGAAAUAAAGGAAAUAGGUAGCUCUAGUAGGAAUACAAAAGCAAUUCCAUCUUUUUUUAAGUUCAGAUGAUUUAGAUGAAGAAGAACUAGAAGAUGAAUAACGAGAAACAUGUCAGAAUGACUAUCGUAUUAAAAUUGAUCUCCCAUCAUUUAAUGGACAACUAGGCAUUGAAGACUUUCUUGAUUGGUUAUCAGAUGUUGAAUGGUUCUUUGAAACAAUAGACUUUUUAGAAUCAAAGAAGGUCAAGGUAGUAGCAUAUAAACUCAAAGGCGUUGUGUAGUUUGGUGGACAAUCUAUAGACUUCUCGUGUGCUACAAGGGAAAAGAAAUGUCAAAACAUGGAAUCACAUGCAUUACCUACUGGGGAACAAUUUUUGGCUCUUGACUAUGUGGAAACCUUGUUUCGUGAGUAAAAAAAACUGUCGUCAAAGAACCAAAAUGGUCGAAGAAUAUGCUCUCGAAUUUCAAAGGCUUAUAGAACGAAAUAACCUCCACGAGACAGAAGCGCAGAUAGUUGGUCGAUUCCUGGAUGGUUUACGUCUUGAAAUAGAAGAUCAAGAUGGGUUGCAACUAGUACAUACAUUGCAGAACGCAAUUCGACUAGCCAAAAAGGUUGAAAUGCAACUUGAAAAAUAGAAAGCUCGUAGUCAACCACCCCACGCUCAUUUUGGCAGGAACAAGAGCAGAUGUACAAAAUUAAUAAGGAAAAAGCUCAUAUGGAAAACUUUACAAGGCCAAUACAAAAUUGUAAUGGGCAAAACAUACGGCCAACAAAUGACUCACUAAGUUGUAGUAAUCCUUAUACAAUUCCACAAGGCAAUAAAUGUUUUCGUUGAUCAAAACUAGGCCAUACAUCAAAUCAAUACCUAGAACAAAGACGCCAAAAAGUCAAUUUGGCAACUCAUGCAAAGGAAAAUAAAGAGCCUAAGGAUAAACCAUAUGAAGACAAUGACGACAUAGAAGAGGAGGAAGAGUAGACAUAUCCAGAUGCAGGAAUAUCGCUAAUAACACAACAUUUUUUUAUACAUACCAAAGAAAGAAGAAGACACUCAGAGACGUAGCAUCUUUAAAACAAGAUGCAUAGUCAAUGAGAGGGUAUGUGAUCUGAUUAUCAAUAGUGUAGCCAGAAUAUAAAUUCCAAGACCAUGGUUGAUAAGCUACAACUUAAAACUCACAAACAUCCUUCUCCUUAUUGCAUUGGAUGGAUAAAACAUGUUGGAGAGACUAAAGUUAUUGAACAAUGCCACAUUCCUUUUUUCCAUCGGAAGAUACAAUGAUGAAGUAACCUACGAUGUUGUCGACAUAAAUGCUUGCCAUCUACUACUAGGGAGACCCUGGUAGUUUGAUCUUAAUACGAUACAUCAUGGGAAUGAUAACACAUACAAGUUUUAUAAAGACAACAUGAAGAUUAUCCUUACUUCAAUGAAGUCAAAAGUCAAGGGAACCUAUCUUUUAGUACCAAAAGAAGUAGCUGAAACAGAAUCAGUGCCCGAACAAGUCCAAUCACUAUUCUCAGAAUUUCAAGGCAUCAUGCCUAAAGAAUUUCCUAACAAGUUACCUCCUAUAAGGAAUAUUCGACAUCAAAUUGAUCUUUUCCCUAGAUCUAACCUACCCAACUUACAUGUGACUCAAAUUAAAAGACAACUUUUAAUGAUUUAUUCCUACAAGUCUACAGCUUUUAGAAGAGCCAUAUUCAAAAGCAAAAGGAAAUUGAAGUUUUGGUAUUUUCGAGUUUCAAGGAAAGUUGAUGCGAAGUGCUACACGUUUAUAUUGCAAGGUCAAUUACUCCUUCAUUACAAGCUUCAUCCUCUAGAUUGUCUUUUGUUUUUAACAAAAGUCGAGGACGAGUUUUUUUUCGAAAAGGAGGAGACUGAUGUAGGACAAUCCUAGUCAUAGUAGGAGUAUAAAUUUAAUUUCCUUCUUUUUGAGUUUAAUUAGGAUUAAUUUUCUUGUUUAAGUCAUAUUUCUUUUCUUAUAAGGAAUCAUAAUUUUAUUAGAAAUAGGAUAAUUAUAACUAGUAUAAAUAGACUUAUUAUGCUUUGUUUCUAGAUACAAGCUUUUCAUUAAUAAUAUUCAGUAUUUCUCAAUUGAGAUAUUUUCUAUUUUGUGAGAGCCUUCUUUCUUGAGUUUUCAAUAACGUACGCUAGAACAAAAUCUAGUAUCACUUUCGCACUGUGUCACAUAAUAUUCUUUCAAUUAGAACAUUUUUAUAAUAAAUUAAAGCAGUAAUAACAUUUUACUGCUGUACCGUACAUCCGCCUUGGCCGUACAGCAGUUAGAAUCAAAAUUUUUUAAUUUUUAAUUAUGAAAUAAAAUUCGGAUCAAAUAUAUAUUAUUUAUUGGAUGAGCAUUAUACAUUCAUAAAUAUUUUGCUCUAGUGAGAGCUCAAAAAUAUUUAUUUCAUGGAAAGUGGCUGAAAUUUGAUUAUAUCUCAUGUUUUAGGUGUUUGUUAACAAUCACCAAUAUGAAUUUUAUGUUAUUUGUCGUAGAUGCCUCCCGUUAGAAAAUUGUGGACUGAGGAAGAGGGAUUAAUGACAAUUAGAGCUUGGGUUUCACCUAUGGAUCUAAUUGAAAUUAAUGAUGACUUAUCUCAUGAAGAACUUGUGAAGAAAAUGAAAAAUUAUAAGAUGGAUCCUGAUCGUACUGUGUGUAUGAAUAUAGAAGAUAUAUAUGACGUCUUUAUGCACUUAAUGUGUGGAAAAGCGAAUACUAAGUAUACAGACUGGGAUAAUUAUCAACGAAUCCUCAUCAAUUUCUUACUUGAUGAAGAUAAUACGCUUGUCUUUAAGGCUCCCAUGUUAGAGGAGAUCAAGGAUCCCUCGUACGCAUAUUAUAUGCUGAGGUGUGAAAUUGAGCUAAUGGAGGAGCGCCGUCUUGCUUAAAAAAUGAGGUGAACUUCAGUAUUUAGUACUCACAUGAGCCUUCAAAAUGGAAGACAAGCUAGUCGCCUUGGUAGAGGGUAAAAAUUAUGGUAUGAGAAAAUGAUAAACUGAAUCAUCGAGAAAGAAUAAUUAUUUUUAUAUGGACAUUUACAUGAUUAUAAGUUGGAUGAAAGAAUCUCGAGAAACAAAGAAUAUUUUAAGAACAUGUAGAAGAGUCGAGAUAUUAGUUUAACCAUGUUUGGUUAUUUCUUUCAUUUGUUAUGUUUUAUACUUUUAGAUGUUGUUUUUCUCUUAAUUGGUUGAACAAUAUGUUGCUAUGCUUUUAAUUGAAUUUCUACAUUAGUUGUUGCUCUACUUUAUAUAUGUUUUUACGAUAUCUCAUGAAUUAUUCUAUUGAGUGGGAGUUUUGAUCAAAAUUGAAUUUGACGAAUUCAUGAUUAGAACUAAUCAUUUUGCGCAUUAAAAUCGAAUUAAUGAUGAAUAUAAUAAAGGGAAUCAGAUGAUGAUUGGAAGCUUCCACGACCUUUUGAUUUCAUUCUCGAUAUUAAUUUAUCAUUUUUUUAGUUUACGUUUGCGGCAAAAUUAAUAGUUUGUGUGUAAUUAUUAGAUGUCUUUAUUGAUUGUAUUUUGAAUUGUCGUUGUGUUAAAAGAAAACUAAGAUGACAUCUGCAUCUAAAAACAUUGUGGCUGAGUGAAUAAGGGUGAGAAGCUGAAUGAUGACAAUUAUGAUAUUUGGCAUCGUAAUAUUCCAUACAUCCUUAAAGAGCAAAAGACUCUAGAAGCUCUCAACAACACCUUAGUUGAGCCUGAGCAUGGCAAUACUGCUCAACAUAGGAGGGAUCUUGAGGCUUACCAAGCCUAGAAAAAGAAGAAUAGCAAUGCUCGCAUAACGAUGGUGAGCGGCAUGCAAGAUGACCUUAUGUGUGAGUUUGGGAAGUAUGAGACUGCUCAAGAGAUGUGGCUCGCUUUGAAAGAUAAGUUUGGUGGAACUUCGACCACUAAGUUGAGAAGGCUUAGGAUCAAGUUUGACUCUUAUCGGAAGCGCCAGAAUCAUACUAUGAGGCAGCAUCUGAGGGAGAUGUCAAACAUGAUUUCGUGAACUUAAGGUUGUUGGACAUAUUCUGACUGAUGAUCAAUAAGUCCAGGCAGUAAUAAGAUGUCUACUUGAUUCUUGGAAACACAUGAAGGUGAAUAUGACUCACAAUGAAAGUAUCAGAGCUUUUAAUGAUAUAGAACAUCACCUAGAGCUAGAAGCAAAGCGCCUUGAGGCAGUUAAGCUUUCUGAUCGUGUUUAUAUGGCCGAGUCAAGUUCGCGCAAAGCUUUGGACUUCAAGUGCAAAAGAGGUCAUAAGUAUAACUAGAAGGGUGAGAGAUCUGAUCCUAAUUAGAAGAAGCCAGAUUUUAAGAAGCGCCCAAGGAGUAGGCAUGCUGGCAAGAAAAAGAAUAAAUCCAAGAUGAAAUGCUAUGAUUGUAGCAAGCUGGGUCACUUUGCUCGUGAGUGCACUAAGCCAAAAAAUGUGAGACCCAACUCCACUCUAUUAAAUUAUAUAUUAGUUACGUGUUCUGUACUCCCAAUUGAUUCUCAUUCUUUGUGAAUUGUAGACUCAUAAGGAACAGACCAUAUAGCUUAUGAUCGUAAUGCAUUUGUGGAGUAUCGUCGAAUUAGCCAAGGGACUAGAUGGAUAUAUGUGGAAAACAACUCCAGAGUUGAAGUAAAAGGAAUAGGCACUUGCAAAUUGACUUUGCGUAGUGGUCAUAUUCUUUUGAUACACGAUGUCUUUUAUGCACCAAAAAUUCAACAAAACUUGAUUUCCGUUCCUAUUCUUCUUGGAUUAGGAUAUAAUUUAAACUUUCAUGGUGUUUGUUUGGAGAUUUUUCUAAAUUCAGUCUUUAUUAGAAAUGUUAUUUUGAUUUAUGCUUAGACCCUAAGAAACAAGGCCAAUUGGAUUGGUCAAGACAUUACAAGAUAAUUGGAGGCAUGGCUUGAGGAAUUCUUUAUCUUCAUGAAGACUCCCAGCUCAGAAUUAUAUAUCGUGAUCUCAAAGCUAGUAAUAUACUCUUAGAUGCACAAAUAAACCCAAAAAUUUCAGAUUUUGGUCUGGCAAGGAUAUUCGGAGUUGAUCAAACUCAAGGAAACACAAGCAGAAUAGUCAGGACAUAGUAAGUAUUAACUAAUAUUACCCUUUCUACAUAUAUACCCUCUGUUUAUUUAGUUCACAACUUAUUUGUUACCUCAUUUAGUUCAAAAUAUUCAUAAUUUUCUUUAAUUAUAUUGACUUAGUUGCUGGUUUGUAGUGGUUACAUGUCCCCAGAAUACGCUAUGCAUAGGCAAUUCUCUGUGAAAUCAGAUGUGUAUAGUUUUGGUGUCAUAGCUCUGGAGACUAUACUGGCAAGAAAACAGCAGCUUUUAUCAAACAGAUGGUGCUCGAGAUCUUUUAAGCUACGUAAGCAUAAAUAAAAUUAUAUAUUUUGACAUUUCUAAGUGCUUAUAUGAAUCAUAUCAAACACGACUAAACAAGUAAUAGAGUGGCACUAAAAAGGGUAAAGAAUGACAAAACCCUUUUUAUUAUGACUUGAUAUACGAUUUGCAGGCUUGGAAGCAUUAGAGGGAUGGAACACCCUUGCAGUUGUUGGAUUCAAAUCUUACAGAUUCAUACUCAAGAGAUGAAGUGAUUAGAUGCAUCCAUGUGGGCUUAUUAUGCGUCCAGGAAGAUCCAGCUGACAGGCCUUCAAUGGCAACAAUAGUUCUCGUGCUAAACAGUUACUCUGUCACACUUCCAAUGCCCCGAUAGCCUGCAUUGUUCAUUAGUAGUCGAACAGAGAGGAGCUUUCCAGAAAGAGAAUUUGAGUGCUCUGAUAAAUCUACGAGCAAGUCGAUGCCAUGGUCUGUUGAUGAAGCAUCAAUUACUGAAGUAUAUCCUCGUUAACUAGUAAUGACGUAUACGUCUGUCGAAACAGGCAUUUGUUAGUGAAUGAUGAAACUUGAAAUAGAACUUAUCCUUUGAGAAUUACAAACUGUAAGAUGUAUGAUUGAUCAGUUUGAAACCACGAUGCUUCUUCUUUAUGUUAUUGUAUGAUCUAAUUCCAGCAUCUGCAGGGCUAGUACGGUACGUAGAACGUAUGAUUUUUGUUUAAAAACAAAAAAAAAAAAGCUUAAAACAGAUUUAAAUUAAACGUCGGCGUAUGGUUUGUGUUUCGGUGUGUUUGCUUUAUCGAAAUUUUGAGUUGAGGACCAAGAUCAUAUGCUAUACCGGUUCUCUUUUGCACUAAUAAUUUGGUGUUGGCUUGGUAGUACUAGUGCCCUCGGUUUCAUCAUUUAGUGCUAAACUUCGUCUCCCUUCCUUUCUCUAAAGCUCACGGUUCGGGAAAUUAUCUGGUGCUCUCCUCCAACUGGUUGGGUUAAGGCCAAUUCUUACGGCCGGACGACUUUAAUUAGAGCCGGGAAAAUGGGUCAUGGGUCCAGGGGCGGAUCAGAUAUGACCGAUGGAGGGAAAAAAAUAAAUUCUAAAAAUUAAAGAGAAAAUUACUUUGAUUUUUAAUUAGCCACAAUUAAAUCUAUAAUUUCAUAAACCCAUAAAAGUUAAAAAUUUUAAAAGUCUACUCUUUAAUUAAAAAAAAAAAAAAACCACUAUAAACCCACAAUAACUCAUAGGUGAUUUUUGUUAUGAAUUAUUGUAGAAUCCACCAAGUAAAUGGAAGCACCACUUUGUGAUUAAUGGACUCACCACUUUAAAAGUGGAUUCACCAAUUUUGAGUUUUAUAAACAUAUAUUGUUACCCACUCCACUAAGGCACCAACUAUAUAUAUAUAUAUAUAUAUAUAUAUUAUUUAUUUAGUUAAAGGUAAGGGGGGUGGGCAAGCCCAAAUACAAUUUUUACCCCCCUUACCACCCCCAAGAAUCGAAUCCGGGUUUUGGUAGAGGCUACAACUGCACUGCAACCAACCCGACCAUGCCCAUGGGGGCAAGGCACCAACUAUAUAUAUAGUUGUAGUUUGAGCAAAAUGUAGAACUCAAAACUGAGCUUAUCUUUGUCCAUUGAUCUUCUUUGAAAAGCUCUACAAUAUUGUAGUAAUAUAAAUAAAGCUUUGGUACAAAUUUUCUUAUCCAAUUCUAAAGGAUUUGCUUCUAAAUUUACGACACACUAUUUUUUCAAAUUUAUAACAAUUUUACUAUUAUUUAAUUUUGCACCAAUCAAUUAAAAAGGCCUUCAUUAACUUAUAAACCCAUAAAAUUUUAGUUUUCACACUUGUGGAUAUGCAAUUUAGCCCCCAAUAAAUCUUUUUUUGGAUUCAUUAGUGACUGGCUCAUGUUCAUGUCGUGUUCAGCUGCAUAUCGUAUCAAAUUUUGGCUAAUCCAACACGAUCCAUUUAAUAAUUAGGUAAUCAUGCCACCUAAUAAGAUACAAUCCAAUAACCCACUUAAUACCUAGAUAUUUAACAAAUUUUCGUGUGGAUAUGCACUUUCGUGGUUUUGUAGAAUAUUUUAUAAUGUUGUAAAACUUUUUUGCGAGAUCACGCAAGUGCCUAUCCACAUGAAAUUUCUUGCGGACAUCCGCAUCUAAGAAGCUAUAUAUGCUUGUGGGCGAGCGUGUGCUAAAUAAUACAAUAUAUUAAUAGUAGAAAACACAAUAAUGAUAGAACCACACAAACAGUUUUGCACAAACCGAUGUGAUAUGAAGAGAUUGACUGAAAAAUUAUAACAAUUACUUUUUUCAAGAGAUUGCCUAAAACAUUAUAACAAUUACUUUUUUCAGUUUUGUGGACUGAUGAUGGUUUUAUGUAACCAAUCUCAUAUAUGUCUACCAAAUUAUUAUACAUUUACAUGUUCAUCCUUAAAAACAUUAAGAGAGAGAGAGAGAGAGAGAGAAUUUUUGUUUUAAUUGGUGGCAAUGUGAGUUUUUAUCUAUUAGUUGUAAAUUUUUUUUCAAUCAGCAUCAAUUUAGAAUUUUAUCAAGGUAAUAACGUUAAGUUUGGGUUUUUUAAAUUUUAUUUAGCAUAAUUAAAAAUGUGUUCUUAUGAUUUUUGUAGACCAUCAAAAAGAUAAUAUUUUAAUGGACUGUGUUAAAGGUUUUCGGUUGACACAAUACAAUUAUCAUUUUUAUAAUCAUAUUAUUGAGAACUUGAAUCCUAACUCCACAUGAAAAAAAAAACCGUGUUGACUCGGACUCAGUCUAUUUAAUAAUCGCGUGUGAUUUUUGUUAUGAAUUAUUGUAGAAUCCACCAAGUAAAUGGAAGCACCACUUUGUGAUUAAUGGACUCACCACUUUAAAAGUGGAUUCACCAAUUUUGAGUUUUAUAAACAUAUAUUGUUACCCACUCCACUAAGGCACCAACUAUAUAUAUAUAUAUAUAUAUAUAUAUUAUUUAUUUAGUUAAAGGUAAGGGGGGUGGGCAAGCCCAAAUACAAUUUUUACCCCCCUUACCACCCCCAAGAAUCGAAUCCGGGUUUUGGUAGAGGCUACAACUGCACUGCAACCAACCCGACCAUGCCCAUGGGGGCAAGGCACCAACUAUAUAUAUAGUUGUAGUUUGAGCAAAAUGUAGAACUCAAAACUGAGCUUAUCUUUGUCCAUUGAUCUUCUUUGAAAAGCUCUACAAUAUUGUAGUAAUAUAAAUAAAGCUUUGGUACAAAUUUUCUUAUCCAAUUCUAAAGGAUUUGCUUCUAAAUUUACGACACACUAUUUUUUCAAAUUUAUAACAAUUUUACUAUUAUUUAAUUUUGCACCAAUCAAUUAAAAAGGCCUUCAUUAACUUAUAAACCCAUAAAAUUUUAGUUUUCACACUUGUGGAUAUGCAAUUUAGCCCCCAAUAAAUCUUUUUUUGGAUUCAUUAGUGACUGGCUCAUGUUCAUGUCGUGUUCAGCUGCAUAUCGUAUCAAAUUUUGGCUAAUCCAACACGAUCCAUUUAAUAAUUAGGUAAUCAUGCCACCUAAUAAGAUACAAUCCAAUAACCCACUUAAUACCUAGAUAUUUAACAAAUUUUCGUGUGGAUAUGCACUUUCGUGGUUUUGUAGAAUAUUUUAUAAUGUUGUAAAACUUUUUUGCGAGAUCACGCAAGUGCCUAUCCACAUGAAAUUUCUUGCGGACAUCCGCAUCUAAGAAGCUAUAUAUGCUUGUGGGCGAGCGUGUGCUAAAUAAUACAAUAUAUUAAUAGUAGAAAACACAAUAAUGAUAGAACCACACAAACAGUUUUGCACAAACCGAUGUGAUAUGAAGAGAUUGACUGAAAAAUUAUAACAAUUACUUUUUUCAAGAGAUUGCCUAAAACAUUAUAACAAUUACUUUUUUCAGUUUUGUGGACUGAUGAUGGUUUUAUGUAACCAAUCUCAUAUAUGUCUACCAAAUUAUUAUACAUUUACAUGUUCAUCCUUAAAAACAUUAAGAGAGAGAGAGAGAGAGAGAGAAUUUUUGUUUUAAUUGGUGGCAAUGUGAGUUUUUAUCUAUUAGUUGUAAAUUUUUUUUCAAUCAGCAUCAAUUUAGAAUUUUAUCAAGGUAAUAACGUUAAGUUUGGGUUUUUUAAAUUUUAUUUAGCAUAAUUAAAAAUGUGUUCUUAUGAUUUUUGUAGACCAUCAAAAAGAUAAUAUUUUAAUGGACUGUGUUAAAGGUUUUCGGUUGACACAAUACAAUUAUCAUUUUUAUAAUCAUAUUAUUGAGAACUUGAAUCCUAACUCCACAUGAAAAAAAAAACCGUGUUGACUCGGACUCAGUCUAUUUAAUAAUCGCGUCAAAUUUAACGUCUCAAACUCUUUUAUUCGAAUCAUGUUUGCACCGGAUAAAUGAGUCGUGUCAAAUUUUGCUAGCUCUACCUUUAGCACUAGAUGAAUUAGGUAGUUGGCUAAGGCCUGAAAUUUUAAAAAGCUCUCAAGUUUUGAGCAUUUAUUUAUUAAUACACUAAUUAAUAAUCAUUAUUCUUUACGAUUUCAUAGAUUUGUUUAAGUUAUGUUUAUAGGAAAUCCUAAUUUUAGGCAUCUCCCUAUUAUUAUUCUCAUUCAUAAUUAUCUAAAAGAUUUUUUUAAUAAAAUUUUAUAUUUGAUAAUCUUCACAGUAUAAUUAAUGAUUUUAACUAUUAAUUUCUUAUUUUCUUAAUCCUUUCAAGGAAAAAUUUUAAAUGCUUUCACUUUCUAGAGAAAAAAAUUAUUCUAUUAAAAUUAUUUGCUUUAGAAUCUAAUGAAAACCUAAUAAUCAAUAUAUAUUGAAUCAACAAUAAUCUCAGUUAAAAAAUUUCUUGCUCGUUCAACAAUAAUCUCAGUUAAAAAGUUUCUUGCUCCUUUCUCUAGAAAGAAAAUUAUUCUCUAUGAAAUCUAAUUCCAUCAUCUAAUCAUCAUAUUCAUCUUGACUAGUCAAUUUUUCUGGUGUUAUCAUUCCAGUUAUACAAUUUUAUAUUAUUGUUUAUUUUUACGAGUUUUUUUUUUUUGUAUUAACGUAGAGCUUGAAUAUAUUUUGAACUAUUUUAUAUUUCUUUGACAGUUGAUGUUAUUGACUGUAUGAAGGCAAAAAAAAUAUUCGCUUAAGAUCAUGAACCCUUGGAGCUAGCCCUGUCUGAUGGUAUAACUAAGAGUAACCCCUAAUUUGUUAGCUUGUUCUGGGAUUUUAGGCGGGCAUGAUGGUGGUUUCUAUUGGGUUGAUUUGCUGCUUUAUUUAGUGAUGUGACUAGAGAUGGCUAAUAAAUCUGGAUCUAACCCACAUUCGCAAACAUCUGUUGGAAAAAUCUUUAUUCAAAUAAUAAAUAAUCCGCAUCCAGAUGUAAAAAUUUAGGACCCCUAUGAAUCCGAAUGCACUUUUAUUAGACAACCGAAUAUUCGGAUCUGCAUAUUUUUUAAAAUAAAUUAAAUAAAAAAAUAAAAUUUAUAUAAGAAAACACAAACUCUAAGCUAAAAACACAUUACAUAUAAAUAUUGCAAUACACCCAAGUAGCCAUAAAUAUUAUUUUAGAUUUGUGUUAGUAUUGGAUGAUUAUUUUUUGUUUUUUAAAUAGUUAAAAUUAGUAAAUUUACAUAUAAAUUUUUUUAAUGCGUGCUUUUGGAUAUCGGUAAUUAGGGGUGGGCAAAUACAGGUUUGGAUCAAGUUCGGAUCAAUCCGAUCGGAUUUCGAGUUAAUCGAGCUAGGAAAAAUGUAACCCGAAUUCAAUCCGAACAUAUAAUCCAACCUGACCUCAUCUUAUUCGAAUAGAUCGGUAAUUUGUGUUUGUUUGUGCUUUUAUUUCUUCAUAUUUUCGGAUUGAAUCAAGUUUGACCCAAUUCGAUCACGAUCUGAUUCGAUCCGAUCAAGUUUGCCAAAAUCCAACUAGAUUGGGUUAGGCUCUUCAUCCGAAUAUGAUCCAAACCUGAAUUUUUCGGGUUAGAUCAGGUUAAAUUGGUUCGCGUUGGGUCAUUUGCCCACCCCUGCUUAUAAUAUUCUCCUAGAAUCUGCACGAACAUUACCCACGUCUGAAUCUGCAAUAAAUAAUAUGGUUUCAAAUGCAUAUCCGAAUUCAGUUUUUGCUAUCCUUAGAUGUGGCAGUGUUUAAGGUAGAAAUUAUGGUUGUGAUUUAUGUUAUUAGAGGCUUUUGCCAUUCUUUGUGGAUUAAGUGUAAUUCUUCAUCCCAUUACAUUUAUUGAAAAAUAGGGUUAAAAUAGAAAAUGAGAAGGAGAAGAAAAAGGUGCAACGCCUAUUGUCAUCGCUCUGUACUAUUAGGUUAUAUUUCUAUUACUUUUUAUUAACAAGUUGGCUUAAUUUAUUAAAUAAUGUUCAUACUAGGAAUGGCAAAAUCCAAAUGCGGAUCUAGGUUUGGCCUUCCUGGUUCCGGAACCGGAUACCAAUUUUAUUUUACCGGACCUGGAUAUAAACCUGAUUUUUUCGACUCUGGGUCAAGUACGGGUUCGACCCGGAAAUUACAGGGUUUCCAGAUUUUGGGUUUUGAACCCGGAUUUGAUUUCAACGGUGGAAAACAGUCAUCUUCGAUUAUUUCUUCCAUCUUUUAAUUUCUAACUGCAAACAGAUGAACACACAACAACAAUAGACAUAUGAAUACUCACACCCAAAUCUGUCUCCCUAAGCUCCACCUGUAAGUUGUCACAAGGAUAAACUUUUGGUGUGAAAGGAAUCUUUGGGCCUUAUCAUUCCACACAGCCAAAGCUCCUAAUGAUGCCAAAAUAAUAAUAAUAAUAAUAAAUAAUCCUCCAAAGCAUCUAACCUAACGUUUCCUCCCAUGAUCUGCGUUCAACUUCAACCCGUAUCACCGUUGUUGCUAAUCGCGACAGAGAAGACUAGAGAGGCAGCUUGAUGACGAUGAUGAUAAUGAACACAACUGCGAAGGACAAGGUGGCGAAGCGAUGAGAGUGACGAUGAUGAAGAUUUGAUGAAGGGAAGGAAGCAUGCGAUGUGGCUGUGAAUUGCAAUUUGCAAAUUAUCGCACAUGAUUUUUCUUUUUUUUUUAACUUUUCUUUUUAUAUUAAAAAUAGUUUUAAAACUUAAAAUAAAAAUAAAGAUAUACGGGUCCUGGUUUCAGAUCUCCGGGUUUAAAUAAAACCGGAUCCAAACCUGGAUAUGUCUAGGUUCAUAGAAUUACAUCCGGAUUCCAGAUAAAAUUAAAUCCAAUACAAGUUGAACUUAGACCAGAUUAUGCGGGUUCGUCCAGGUCCACGCCGAGUCAGAAAAAUAUUGACAUCCCUAGUUCAUACAAUGACAAAUUAGGAAUAUUUGUACAAAUGAAAGUAUAGGUAGGAUAAGAUGGGUUCCAACAAGCAAUUCUAAUUUGACAUUGAGCAAUCUAGUUCAUUUGACACCACCAUAAAAAAGAAUUAGAUAACACAUAUAAUUAGUCACACGUUGACACUAACUCAUAUGAUCAUAUCAUAUCAUGCACAAAGUGCAGUUCAUCUACUUCACCAAGGAUAUUAUUGUAUUUAAGGAGAGGAUGUGAAUAUAAUAGAUGGCUAUGUGAAUAUUGUAAGAAUUUCUCAAAAGAUCUUGUACUUUUUAAAUUUGUUAAAAUACCUCAUAUGAAUUUUAAAACUAUGAAAAUGCCCUAUAAAAUUUUUGAAAGUUCUGAUUUCCUUGCUCCAAAAAUCCUAGUGCUUUGCAAUUUGAUAUGUUAUUUUGAUUUUAUAAAAAAUGGAUUACUCAUAAUGAUAAUUAAUAACUCACAAUAAAUAAACUAAAAGGAGAGAUUUUCUUCUUUUUAUUUUUUAGUGUUUUUUUAUUUUUUUUAAGAAAAGAUUGGGAGUGGGUAAAGACUAAAUUAAUUUUUUUUUUAAUGUUUGCCUUCAAAUUCAGGCAAUCAAUAAAAUAAAACUACAAGAAAACAAGUCCUGGGGGCCUAUUUUUAGUGCUUCUUCUUCAAAAACAAAUAGCUAAUAAAUCAUGCAUCAUUUUGAAAACAUGAAAUCAGCUAUAACAAUUGUAGUUAGUAGAAAUAUUAUAGACAAAUAUUAUAGUUGUAGUUUUAUUUAUUAAUUCUAAAUCUUGAAAAUUGUAUCAAAUUUUAUGGUUAUGUCCCUGAUUGUGAUUAUCUUACAACUUAUGCUACAGUCUUUAAUUUUAUAUUCUAGGACCUUCAUGAAUUAGAAGACAUAACAAUCUUCGGAUACCUCGAUGUGUCAGAAAAGAAUACAUUUACAACGUAAGAUAUAUAUGAUCAACAUGAUCUUCCGUUCAGUAAAGCAGGUUACCGGCACUUUAAACUUACAAAACUAUCAGCAUUUCCUACUGCUGCUUGGCUCAUUGUGUUAAUCGUUUUGCUUAUUUUCAGAUCAAAUGAUUUUAUGUUCUAGGGACACUACUAUGGGAAAUUUUCUUAUAUAGCCAUUUUCAAAAACCUGUUAUCAAAAAUAGCCAUAGAACAAAAUGUCUUAAAAUAAUAACCACACACACUUAUUACGGACUAAAUUACCCCCCAAAGACUAUUGUCGAUCACCUAUAUCCCGUCAUCGCCCGGCAUCGCCCAUCAUCGCCCGUCAUCUCAUAAAUUUCUUUUCACAUCCCCAUCAUCACAAUCUUACCAUCAUAACCCCUAUUAUCACAGCCUCCAUCAACAAAAGGUUUUGCAUUGUCAACGACAUGAGGAUUCAACCUAAAGGUACAACUCUCUUGCACUUUUACAACAAUUUUUAAUUGAUUAGUGGAUUAUUAUUGAUAGAAAAGCACACUAGUUUAUGUAUUGGCAUGAACAAUUCAAAAAAAAUUUAAGAUUAAUGUUUGCAAAAUAUAAGCACAUUAGGUGUCGUUAAAAUGUCUCUAAGAAAUUUUUUUCAAUUAUCCUAAUAAAUUUACUCAGCUAGUUCUUAGUAAUCCACUCUUUAAUACCAAAGAUACUUACUAAUAUGAAGUUUACGCUUAUUUCAUAAACUUUUUUCUUUCUUUUUUUAGUAUAUAUUGGUUGUUGGCACUCAUCGCCUGCAACAUUUGCGGGUGAUUGCGAACGAUGGCGCCCAUCGCCCGCCCAGGUGCAGCAUUGCCUGCACUUCCCUGCACUAACCCAAAUGAAUUUUUUUGUUUAAAUAAUAAUCCAAUAUCUGUCGUGUUUAACUUUCAGAUGUGUCCUACAAUAAAUGCCGCCUUGGACUUUAAAGAUACCAAUUGAAGAUUACUUCCAAGUAGUCUAACAAAUUUAAAGAAAAUGAAGAGAGUGAUUAGCCUUAUGCAAAUAAAAUUAACUGAAAAACAACAAAAGUUGUUCAGGAAAUCAAUAUUUGGGCAUUUUAGUAGUAUGAAUGAAAUUAGAUUUAGUGGCAUACUCGUGCAUAAUUUGUUGCUUAGACAAGUAGUAAAGAAGUUGAUAAAUAUUAAAUGUGGUUUCAUGUUGGCGAUGAGUUGUUGCUUAGGCAAGCAAUACAUUGAAAACAUGUAUUUUACUGGCAAUAUCUUUUCUAUGAUCAUAUAUUUUUGUGCCCUUGUUGUAAAGCGAGUUGUCAUCGACUUGGCCGCUUUAUUUCUAUCAUAAAACCAUUGUUACAUUGUAAAUCUAAAGUGUUCAACCAACUAAGUAAUAGGAAAUUUUCUUGGUUCCUUCAUUAAAGCAUUCAUGCUCUCUGCAAUGUUUGUGGUCAGAAUGCUUUACCUUCAACCUUUAAAAAAAGAUCAAGCCCAAUAAUUAAAGCGUAUGUCCUCCAAAUACUUUGUUGCACUUGCAUGCAUACUCCACAACCCCUCCAUUUGCUUUUAAAACUCUACUGGAUCAUAUAUUUUCACUGCUUGUAUAAAGGUUAGUCUAAAAGAAUACUUCCGUAGUUUUCUAAGAUUCUUGAAAUGUGACUUUAGAUUACUUUCCAAAUGAUAUAAACAAAGGCCGUAUAGUACAGUAGGAAAUACCUUAUAAACUGCUCUACGGAUAGAUAUGCAACGAUUGGAUAUAAAUACCAACUCUUGCAUGUCUCCAAUGACUUCAUGCAACCUCAUGAUAAACCAUUCCCAAGAGGCAUUAUAUUCUAAAUCUACAAUUCCAAUAACUAUAGGAUACAUUUGGUUAUUCUCAUCUAAGCAUGCUGCAAUCAACAAGUUUCCUCCAUAUUUACCUUUUAAAUGAGACUCGUCCACUGUGAUCACUCGCCUGAUUGACAGCAUAAAACCUUUAAUGCAAGAUCCAAGAGCAAGCAAGCUGAAUUAUUGUAUUGUUGUUUAGCUCUUGCAAGACAUGAGAAUAUUUGGGAAAUAACUUAUAUAACUCUCCUGAGUCUCUCCGUUUCAACUUCAAAGCUUUUUCCUUACUCCGCUAUGCUUGCUAGUAUGAUAAAUUAAUUUCAUAAUCAUUAUUCAUAUCCGAAAUGAUAUCCUUUUGAGUGUAUAUUCACUUGACAUCAACAAAAUUUUGCUUGAUAAUUUCGCUGACAACCCGAGGCGAUGACCAUAAUGGAAAAUAUCAUUUUGACAAGUAUGCACCCCUAUUGCUCAAAGUCUUCAUUUACAUGUCUUCAUAACACAACAAGCCUCCCAAUAGAUGUUUGGGGACCUAUCCACCUUAAACUCAAACUUAUCUGUACUAGCAAAAAUGCUAAGCUCCGUGUAUAAUUGUUCCUUCAUACUAAAUAGCUGCCUAACAUAAAUACCACUUGAACUACAAUUUCUAGUGUAAGUGUAUCCGAAACUGCCCAAUUUGAUGGCAUAACUGAAACCUCUAAUUGUAAUAGGUCAACUAUAGUUGAUAUUUGAGCCGAAUUCGGCUAUGUGACCUAGGGGUAAUAGGCUGAUUUUGACGUGGAUCAUUAUCUUCCUGAAACUGAGGCAUUGCUUCCAUAUCAUCUAAUAGAUGAUCGCAAUCUACGUCAUCACAGUCACGGAAUGGAGAGUAGCUUUUCGUAGUUGGAAACAUUUGUUCUUCAGUAUCGGAGAAGAAGUAAUUACCAUAGUUUGACAUGGAUCCAUAGACAAAUGUGCACUUAAAGGCUGAAGAUUGGGUUGACGGCAUCAAAGGAGUUGAUUUUUGUUGAGAAGGUAUUAAAGGAGCUUUGAUUGUAACUUUAGGCGAUGUAGUUACAAAAAUAGGAGUCCUACUAUAGUUUAUUCUAUCAGAGUUCAUAUGUAUAAUAACGUUUACCAUUUUAUCAUCUAGUAUGUCCAUUGGUAAAGAAGCAAUGGAUUGCAUAGGACAAUUUGUGCCCCAAACUGUUUUCACUAUUAUAGAAUAUUCGUCUAAACUUAAAUUUAGCACUUGAUAAAUCAUAGCAAUAAAUUGUUCGAAAGUUGGAUCAUUUUGAAGAAAAAAUGCUUUAACUUUUCCAUUCUCGUAUUCCAUAUGACCAUUAACAAACGUUUCCCAUAAUCCAUCUUAAGCACAAUUGUUGAUUCCAUUAAACACGAAGCAAAUUAAAAUAAAUAUAAUUAUAUUACUAAAACAAUAAAUUUAUUUCUAUAAUAAUAUCAUUGACAAUAAACAAUUGACAUUAAAAAUACAACUACAUAAGGUGCCCCACAUUUAGACAAUGGAUGCCAUCGUCUAAUUGAUGGAGAUCAUCGGAUUCUAUUGCCUGGGAGAAGUGUGGGGCAAUGGCUACCAAGUGAGAAGUGCGAGCGAAGGCAUUCAUCGCCCGGGUGACGACUAGUAUUGCCCGCGAGAAGUGCAGGUGAAGGGUGCCAUCGCCCGGGCGAUGCAGGCCUUUACUCGCACUUUUCGCGGAUGAUAUCAGUGAGAAAUGUGGGCGAAUGAUGCCAUCACUUGGGUGAUGCAUGCCUAUGCCAACACUUCUCGCUAGCGAUAUGAGCCAUCGCCCGGCCGAUGAAUGCCUUCACCCGCGAUCUAGGUUUCCCCUACAAUCAUAUAAACACAUAAUUUACCAGACUUUUCCUAAUUUUUGGAUUCAUACAAGCAAAUAUCUAUCCACAUUGUAAUAAAAAUUAAUAAAGAUAUUUGUUUCUACAAAUAUCUACAAAACCCAUAUAUAAAACAUAAUUAAUCUUGCAAUAUAAAUUUCAAAAAACAUUAUCCUUAAUUCCUUCUUGAGCUUUUUUUUUCCUUUUUUGUUUUGAUGGAUUUUGUCUUUAAAAUACUAGUUAUGCAACCUAAGAGGGGGGUGAAUUGGAUUUUUAAAAAAUUUAAACUAAGCAAACCACACAAUAAUUUAAUCUAAUGCCUCAAUGAAAUAAAAAAUAAUAAAUUUAACAAUGUUAAAAAAUGAAAGAGUAAGAGAAGAGAAAGCAAACACAAAGAUUUUUACAUGGUUCGGCAAUUCCCGCUUACAUCCAUGCCUCCAAGCAAACCAAGCUUGAGGAUUUCACUAUCCAAGCCUCCCAAGGCUUCAAAUGCGUACAAUUGACUACCAAGAUGUCAAUGGACCUUUACAACAAGAUAUUAUCCCCAAUCUCUUCACUCAAAGUAUUUCCCACACUUACACACUCACAAAUUUUACAAUGAAUUCAAAAAAUACAAUAAAUACUCUCUUUUAGAGUGAUAUACAAACAAUAGCUCAAUGAAGAUUUAAUCUAUGAUGAUUUGCGAAUUGGAAGCUCAAAAUAUGUUGUUUACACUUGCAAAAGUAUUUAAAAAUGAAUUGAAUUUGUGUUUAUAUAGUUUAGACACAAAAACUAGUCGUUAUGGACAAAAUCCCAAGUAGUCGUUAUAAAUUUUGGUUUUGAAAAUUUGAAAAUUUGAAUAUUUACCUCAGGCAGCUAGCCUCUAACUCUCUGUCUUCCCACCAUAUUUUUUAUAUUUACUUUUUGGCCCAAAACUUUCAAAAAUUAAAAUAUGGUCUAAAACUUUUAUAAAUUACACUAUAGCCUAAAUGUUUUAUAUUUUUACAAAUAAAUCCAAAUUCAGAAUUUCUAAAUCAUGCUCGUUAUUUCCUAAACUUUUUGAAAUAUUGUUAUGGCCCAAAACUUUAUAAUACUUCUCAAAAAAGUUCUUUUCAUAAUGCUUAUUGAUUUCAAAACUUUUUCAAUUUAAUUCAAUAUUUGAAAAACACUCAAAUCCACAAAAUACUUUAUCUUAUAAAUAUGAGACAUUUUGCUUUAUGAAAAGUAAUGAUCUAUUAAACAAAAUUUGAGUUUCUCAAAUGCUAAACCAUGCGUGUAUUAAAUCACACCACAUUUACAAGAAUUUGUCGCAGUAAUGAUUUUGUUGAGGUAAACUUUGUUCUUGAUCAAGCCGUUGUCUAUUGAGUGUCUUGAGCUUGAUUUCAGUUGAUUCACUUACAUAAAUAUCAUCCUUCAAGAAGUAGUGAAUAUGUGAAAUACAAUAUUUAUCAUAUCACUUAAGACACAUGUUUGUUAUCAUCAAAAUUAUAAUAUGUGUAGCCCUUUAGGCUAACAGUCUUCAAUGUUAGUUAACAAUUAUUGUCUGAUGCAUAUGAAAUCGAAGUAGUUUAGUGUUUAGUUGUUGGAGGGAGUUUGAGAAGUCAAAUGAGAGGAGUUUUAUGGAGUUUGUGUUUAGCUGUUGAGGUCAAAUGGUUUGUAUUUAGUUGUUGGCAUGAAAUGAGAGAGGAGCUUUGGGGAGGGGUAAUUUAGUUCAUAAAAAGUGUGAGUGAUUAUUAUUUUAAGAACUUUUGUUCUAUAGCUAGUUUUGAUAAUGAAUUUUUGAAAGUGGCUAUAUAAGAAAAUUUCCCCACUACUAAUGGCUCUUUGUUAAAUAAAUUCCUGGUUUUUACAAUAUUAAUCCACAUGCAUGUGCGUACACUAAAUAAUUAACCAAAAUGGAUUGAAAACUAAAGAUGGUGAAUUGAAAACUAAAGCACAGAGGACAACGAUCAAAAUAAGAGAGUUGAAACGACCCAUUAAUGUAGGUUCAUGUGGAACAAGUUUAGAUAUAUACUAUAAUUUUGAGGAUGAGUUUAAGUUAGAAAAUUGGUGCAUGUAUAUAUAUGUGUGUGUGUGCGCUUUCAUAAAGGAGAGGCGUGAGGCUAAAGUGCUAAGUUUAAUUAGCUAGUAGCUCAAGUCAGCAAUUUUAAAAUUUUGAAAAGUUAUAAUUUGGGUUAGGUACUUAUGCACUACGUAGCCGGCGGCCCAUAAUGUAGCUAGUAAGAACUGGAUUAAUUUCAUUCAUGCUUGCUUGAUAAUUAAUUCUCCUAUUGCUGGCGGCAAAUUCCUAGAAUUUUGCAUGUAUAUUCAACAGUUAAAACUCAUUUUUUUUCUCUGUUCAUUGAUUCAAUUGAUAAGAUCUUUUGGAUUUGUUCGAAUAUUGCAUGAUGUAAGACAUUGUGUAGCUAGUGCUGACUUUGAUAUGGUUGUAUAUUUUUUUGGGCUGGAGAUACGUUAGAUUUGUGAGUAUAAUAUAUUGUUUUGAAAACCGCAAUGAAAGAUUAAAAAAGGGCCUCCAAGAUGUCCGUCGAAGUCUUACCAAAUUCUGCUAUUUCGAACUUCUAAAUUUCAUUUGGAGUAUUUUUAUAACCAUUUUCAAAACUUAGCGAGUACCGUAAUAAACUUAUCAUAAAGGUUAAAAAUAUAGUAGGGAAAACAUUACUAUCGUCAUCACUCAUUUUAAUUUUCUUCAAUUGGAAAAAGUAUGUGUAAGAAUUUUGUAUACUACGUGGCAUUACGUAAUUCAAUUAGAUAGGAUUCGUAGAUGUGAAGAGUUGGAUUAGGUUCUUUCUUGUAAUGAUGAUUAUGAUAGAUCGGCACAUAAUACUUGACGGUAGAAAAUUUUGCAGCACGUAACCACUUCAUUAAGAAUUAGUCGUUGUUAUUUAACCAAGACUCUAAUCCCACUCAAUGACUUAUGUGGUUGAUUUACUUUCAAAAAUUUUAAAAUAUAACAAAUAUAAGUUUAGAUUCCUGUUUGAUAAAAGAUAAAAUAAAAUAAAAUUCAAUUAAUAUCCAACACAACACAUGAUAAAAAAAUAAUUACAAAAAAAUGAUUAGCGACAUAUCAGUUACAACGGCACACACUAUGUAACUACAAAAAGUGAGUAGUAGUUCUGAAAAUUUCAACGACAUAUCAGUUACAACGGCGCACACUAUGUAACUACAGAAAGAGAAAAUUUUAAUUUUUAGGGCCCAGCCUUAGAAAUAUUUGCGCACCUGCUUAAAACAUAAUAAAAAACAGUAAAGAAUCAAAACGAACAUUCACUAUUCUGGAAGUUGGAGUUUGUCAAUGAAAUUUUUAGAUAAUAUAAUAAUAUACAAAUAGAUUGCCAUGACUCAGUAUUUCAAAAACAAUGUGUUGACGUAAGCAAAUGAAGAAGAAAAUGUACUGAGAUGACAAGUUUCCUCAGUUUUUACAGAGUCACAGAUGAACAAUUGAAGACUGGGCAAGCCUUCAUCGAUCUGCUCCGAGCAGGGAAAACAAGACCUGUUCAAUAAAUCCUCAUCUAUAAAUAGGGUUGCUAACCUUGCAACAUUUCUCACCCCACACUAAACCAAUAAUAAUAAGUUCAGAGAUUAGACAGAGUGAGAUCCCAAAGCUAGCUAGCUAGUUAAACACAAUGAGAAGUGUUCAAUUUCUUACUGGUUUUGCUCUCUUGAUUUUGGCUUCUUCAUUGGCCUCUGCCUUUGACCCUAGUCCUCUUCAGGAUAUCUGUGUAGCCAUUGAUGAGCCCAAGAACGCAGGUAUAUUUUUUACACUUUAAUUUUCUCUGUCCUAAAAAAUCUUUUAAACUUGUUUAUGUAUACGUGUACGUUGGUCUCAAAUUCACCUUACUAAUUAAUAUUCUGAAUUCUUGGACGCAGUCUUUGUCAACGGGAAGUUCUGCAAGGACCCCAAGCUUGCCAGGCCAGGAGAUUUCUUCUUAUCAGGGCUAGACAAGCCUGGAAACACAGCAAACCGACUUGGUUUCAGUGUAAAAAAUGCAAAUGUUGAGCAAAUUCCGGGACUCAACACUCUCGGAAUAUCAGCAGUCCGUAUAGACUAUGCACCCUAUGGCCAAAACCCUCCUCACACUCACCCUCGUGCCACUGAAAUCCUGACGGUCUUGGAAGGAACACUUUAUGUCGGUUUUGUGACAUCUAACCAGCUAAACAACACACUCAUUGCAAAAGUUCUGAAAAAGGGAGAUGUUUUCGUGUUUCCAAUUGGUUUGAUUCACUUCCAGUUCAACAUUGGAAAAACAAAUGCAGUUGCCAUCGCUGCUCUAAGCAGCCAGAAUCCUGGUGUCAUUACCAUUGCAAACUCGGUCUUCGGAGCCAAUCCUCCGAUCAAUCCUGAUUUUCUUGCCAAGGCAUUCCAGCUGGACGUAGAUGUGGUGAAAGAUCUUGAGGCUAAGUUCUAAAUGUGUAGCUUAUUUGAAUAAUCAUGCCAUUUAUAUAUGUUUCUCGUUCUAAUUAUUGUCAUUAUCAGUUAGUUUUGAUGUAAUAAAGAGAUUCGUACAUGUGUACCUGUCUCAAGUCAGCUUUGUUUGAUUUCCUAAUUAACCCGUAAUUAAAUAAUGUAUUUUUCGUUCAUUGUGAUCAAUGAUCUCUUAUCUGAUCUCGGAUUAUUAUUAUUAUUAUCAUUAUUUUUGAACACGGUGAUUGGUGAACAUGUAGACUGAUAUAAAGAUUCACGUCUAGCAACUAGCAGAUGUGUUCGCACUUGCAAUCAAGGAUUCAACAAGUUGAGAUGCAUUCAAGAGCAUGUCAUCCUUGCACAUCUUAGAAAUCACAGUUCUCCAUAUAUCAAAAUCAAUAACGUUCCCCUUAAUCAGGGUAUUCAAAACUGUCCACAGAACCUCCACAUUCCCUAUCUCACACAGCUGACCAACAAAUGAAUGUAUACGAGCAGAACGAGGUACAAACCCUUAAAAAUCAUCUCAUCCAAAAUUAAAGCAGCUUCCCCGAACUGCAUCCCAUCGCAUAGCCCAUCAAAAAGUAUCCUAUAGGACACAAGAUCCGGAUUGCAGGCCUGUCUAGGCAUAUCCUCAAACAAGUCUUUUGCUUCAUUGCAUUUUCCGUCCUUACAAAGCCCCCCAAGUAUUACAUUAUAACUAAUUGGAUUUGCCUUACACCCUUUAUGCCCCAUUUCAUCCAAAAUUGUAAACGCUGCUUCAAAAUCCUUCUCUUUACAAAACCCACUGAUCAAUGCAUUAUAUGUCACAGAAUUCGGUUUGCACCCACGCUCCUUCAUUUCUUUUAAAAUCCCAGGAACUUCAUUCUUCCUUCCCGCCUUAAAAAGCGCAUUGAUCAAUGUAGAAUAAAUACCCGUAUCCAAUUCAAUCUUAUUUCUCACUAUCUCUUCUUUAAAUCCAAGUGCCAAACUCAACUCACCAACCGCACAAAGCCCUUUUAUCAAUGACGCAAAGACUUGUCAAUCAGGCUUCACAUUAUACACUCUCAUCAUAUCCUCCUUCAACUUUAAUGCCUCAUCUACCCUCAACUCCAAACAAAGACCAUAAAGUAACGUCCCAAAAGUCACCACCGUUGGCUGCAGUCUUUUUUUAAGCAUUUCAUCAAACACCAUCCACGCGUCCUCUAACCUCCGACUUACAACACAACCGUGUAUCAAUAUAUUAUAACUACAAGCAUCUGGGCUAACAUAUUUCUCCAUAAGUUGAAACAACUCCUUCAUUCUAUCAAGCUUUCCGCACGUUAAUAGUGCAUUCAACAACGUGUUGAAAGAUUUGACCGUCCUUUGAACAUUAAAACUCAACAUUUCAUCAAACACUUGGAGUGCGUGUUAGACCACCUGGUAUUAUAUUUUUUAAUAAGAUCGUUAGCUGAAACUUGAUGAUCAAGUUAAAUAUUAUCAAAACGGGUUGACUGACAUAGGUCCAUUCUUCACUUAUCUGGUUAUCUUUGAAGACUUAAUUUUCUAUACAAAGGAUUUGUUGCAAUUGUACAUGUAUCAACUUGUUUUCUUGCCUUAUUGUUUUGUAUUAAUUUUUGUGAAAGCUAACAGAGCAGAUCAUAACAGCAACGGCAGUGGGAAGUCUCUUAGCAGGGGCCAUUCUAGGUGUUGCGUUUCAAGAGAUGACGGAGGCCAUUAAAGAAUCAAAGUCAAGGUGCAGCAACUUCAGAGACGCCCUAAACAGCCUUGAAAACACCUUGAGCUUGUUAAGUCCUUUGAUCAAAGAAAUGGAUAGGUUAAAUCAAGAGCUGGAGGACUCUAAUAAAAGAGAAGAGAUCAUUCGUUUGUUUCUUCAACAGCUGAAGAAAGGGUGGUUUCAAAGUGCUCAAGCAUCCGUCGCUGGAACUUGUCUUAAUUCACUUUUUUUGGACUUAGAUUUUUUUAGCAUAUUUGACUACAAAAAUUGCUUUAACAUAAGUUUAAAUUGACUAUUUUACCCUUAUAAAGUAAAAUUAUCAAGAAUUUACUUUAACUUCAAUAUUUUUCUAAUUUGUGCCAAACUCAUUGUUUCUACUACUACUUUAUUAGUAUGAUUAUUAUUUUUAAUUAAAUUAACAUAGUACAUUUAUAGCACAAUUCUCAUAUAAAUUAUUAGAUUGUUUAAUUUAUGUCAUUUACACGUAAGGGUAGUGAAAUAAUAAUUACGUUUCAUUUAAAAAUAUUAGAUUAUAAGUCACAAAAUUAAAUACCCAAAUUAUUAGAUACAAUAACUCAUGUUUUAUAAGGGUAAUUUUUAUCUUUUUAUAUCAUAAUAAUAAAAUAGUAAAUUAAAAUUUAUGAUCAAAGAUGGUCAAAGAACCUAAGAAAAAAAUUAAUAGAAAGAUUUAAUUGAUUAACUAUACAAAACUUUUAUUAAUUUGUAUUUUUUAGGAAUAUUGUGAACUUAUUGUAAUUGUUUUCUAGAAGUGGGGAGGAUUUAUAAAAAUAGUGGGAUGAAAAUAUCCCCAUCCUAUAAUUGAUUGAACCACAAAAAUAAGAGUAAAAAUAAAUCACUUGAAAAUUUUUAUCAAUACCCCUUAUUUAUUCUAAUUUUCAUAUAAUAAUAUAGUUUUUAUUUUAUUUUCAUGUAUGUCCCAAAUCCUAGGGGUGUUCAGAAUCCAAUCCGAUCCGCUCAAUCCGUUUGAUCUAUAGAAAUCUGAUCCGUAAAAAUUCAAUCCUUGGAUUAGUGGAUUGAAAAUUUCAAAAUCCAUAGUCAGUGGAUUUGAUAUAGAUUUACUUCUGUAAAUCCGUAAAAAUCCGUGAAUCCGCAAAAAAAAAUAAAAAAUAUUAUUUAAUAAAAAAUUAAAUUUCUGCUGUACCGUACAUCCGCCUUGGCCGUACAGCAGCUGCCACGCAACGACGUUGAAACCUGAAACCGUCAAAGAAAGAGUAGUAGGUAGAAAAGAACAAAAAUGAGGACAAAAAUGCUAAAAGAUAAAAAAUAAACAAAAGACAAAUCGUUACUUUAACCAAUUGACUAUGCGUACACAUGUCAUUACUCAAUUGGAUCAUGUCCUCGAUUUUCUCUCCAUUUUUGCACUUCCAUUAUGGGCUCGCUUCAAGGUAAAUAUUUUAUUGAUAAAAAUCAACAAUAUCAUGUAAUUUAUAAAAUGGUGAAAUUUAAAAUCAUUAUGACAUACAAGUACGAUAAGAAUCAAGAUCGUAAUGUCACCUAUAUAUGAAAAGAAUAUUUACAGUAUCAUGAAAGUACACAUCCGCUCAAAAAUUUUGAGCGGAUGUCUGUUUCUGUAAAGAGUUAAAAAGAACAAGUAGUCGAGCAAUUAAAUCCAAUUGCAACACUCAACCUGAUACAACUUUGCCCGAGAUUAAUGAUAAGUCAGCACUUGAAACAGAGGAAGAAGCCCAGCUGGUCGAGGAGCACAUAAAAGGUCCAGCUCGUAUGCGCAGGGCACCAACAUACCUCAAAGAUUACAUUACCUAAAGAAUAUUCGAGAAGACACAGAGAGAGUGGGAAAAAUGGUAGCUGUGAUUUUAUUAUUUUGUUGUGACUAUUUUUUUUAAGAAUCAUUACGUUGUUGGUUAGUUACACGUGUAAUGUUGGGGUGUAAAAGAUAUAUGUAGAGGGGAAUACGUCAUACAAAGGAAUGGAACAGCAAAUAUUUCUUCUUCUCUCUCCGUCUCUCCUGCUAUCUCUGUUUCUCAAUUAAUUUCAAUUCUUUUUGCUUCUUUUUGCUGAAGUCAGCACUUACUCGAAAAGUGUAAAUCUAUGAUAUAAACUCUGACUUGCAGAGUUGUAUCACAACCCGUCAUCAAUCAAGUAAAUUACCGGGUCAUUGCUUAAUCUUUAAUUUUUAUUUCCCAUUCCAGUAUUAAAGAUUAAUUCUACUUGUAUACUUGGUCAAAAGAGGAAAAAAAUGCUACUUGUACAUGAUGGCGAAUUAAAAAAGAAAUUGAAAAUUGGUUCCCAAUUCUCAUCUGAGGAAAAAUUACAUGUUGGCUUUAAUUAAAUAUUGAAUAAUAUUACUCUCUUUUUAGUAGUACCUCAAUCUCGAUAUCAUUGCGAUGCUUAUUUAAAAAGUUUAUAGUUAAUUAACUUAUUUAUUAUUAUUAUUACUAUUAUUAUUAUUGAAUGACUGGAUUAGUACGCUUUAUAUAGGGUUUCAGAUUUCAGCACCAAAUUCUCUGCACGCGUGAUUCAUCAAUGAAAAUGGAUAUUCCACAGGCGGCUCAGCUCGAGGAAAAUUGUGUGAGGGAAGUUAUGAUUCUAUUCUUCUUCUUCUUCUUCUUCUUUUUGUAAAAUGGAUGAGAUUCCAAAUUGAAAAUCUUGAUGGUCAGUUUCUGGAAUUUCAAACCAAAGAGAUUAGUGUUGAUAGGGAAAAUAUUCUACAUUAACUGAGAAUAGUUACAAAACUCUUGAGCUAAUUAUUAAGUAUAAAUUAGCCUAACGAUAGACAUACAAAAAUGGAGACAAAAUCAGGAAUAAGAAUCAAUAGAGCAAUAGUAUGUUCGCAUAAUAUGAUCAAUUAGUUAAAGUAAAUGAUUUGUGUUUUAAUUACUUUUAAAAAGUAUAGAUAAGUAAUUAACUUUUGCUAGUGGUUUUUAAGGAGUUCUAGUCGAAUAAUUUGGGCUUUGCCCGUACUCCUUUUUAUUUUCCUCACAUCGAUGCGUAGAUACUUGUGGAGGUAAUAACUAGUCAUGAUCCAAUUGGGAGGGAAGAUUAAUUCCAGAAUAUGCAAUGACCAAGUCAAUAGAUCGAGCUCUAGACGACCCCAUAUAUAUAUAUAUAUAAUGAAUGAAAUAAGAUGAUCAUUAUAAUUAAAAAAUUUUAUAUAAAUUAUUUUUGUAUAAACUAAUGUGAUAUUAUAUAAUUGAGAGUGAUGAUAUCCCCACUCCACAUUUUUUUUGUAAAUCCACCCCAUUUUUAAAAUAUAAUUAUAAAAGUUGCACUUUUUUAAAAAAAUUUCAAAUCGAGAAGAAUUUUGGAGAAUUAAUUAAUUAAAUUUAUCUUAAUUCACUUUUUUUGGACUUAGAUUUUUUUAGCAUAUUUGACUACAAAAAUUGCUUUAACAUAAGUUUAAAUUGACUAUUUUACCCUUAUAAAGUAAAAUUAUCAAGAAUUUACUUUAACUUCAAUAUUUUUCUAAUUUGUGCCAAACUCAUUGUUUCUACUACUACUUUAUUAGUAUGAUUAUUAUUUUUAAUUAAAUUAACAUAGUACAUUUAUAGCACAAUUCUCAUAUAAAUUAUUAGAUUGUCAAAUUUAUGUCAUUUACACGUAAGGGUAGUGAAAUAAUAAUUACGUUUCAUUUAAAAAUAUUAGAUUAUAAGUCACAAAAUUAAAUACCCAAAUUAUUAGAUACAAUAACUCAUGAUUUAUGAGGGUAAUUUUUAUCUUUUUAUAUCAUAAUAAUAAAAUAGUAAAUUAAAAUUUAUGAUCAAAGAUGGUCAAAGAACCUAAGAAAAAAAUUAAUAGAAAGAUUUAAUUGAUUAACUAUACAAAACUUUUAUUAAUUUGUAUUUUUUAGGAAUAUUGUGAACUUAUUGUAAUUGUUUUCUAGAAGUGGGGAGGAUUUAUAAAAAUAGUGGGAUGGAAAUAUCCCCAUCCUCUAAUUGAUUGAACCACAAAAAUAAGAGUAAAAAUAAAUCACUUGAAAAAAAUUUAUUAAUACCCCUUAUUUAUUCUAAUUUUCAUAUAAUAAUAUAGUUUUUAUUUUAUUUUCAUGUAUAUCCCAAAUCCUAGGGGUGUUCAGAAUCUAAUCCGAUCCGCUCAAUCCGUUUGAUCUAUAGAAAUCUUAUUCGUAAAAAUUCAAUCCGUGGAUUAGUGGAUUGAAUUGGAUUGAAAAUUUCAAAAUUCGUAGUCAGUGGAUUGGAUAUAGAUUUACUUCUGUAAAUCCGUAAAAAUCUGUGAAUCCGCAAAAAGAAUAAAAAAAAUAUUAUUUAAUAAAAAAUUAAACUUGUAAAUAUGGCAUUAGUACUUACUAAUAAAUAAAUAAGUUAAAAUAUAGUUAUAUAACACCAUAUUAUAUCUUAUCUGAUAAUAAUAUAAAAUAAAAAAUAAUUAAAUAUACAUGUAUAGCUUCCUAAGCAAUUCAUUUCAUGUAUUGAUCUAAACAUUGAGAUUUUUUUCUUUUCAGUGUGCUAUAUUUUGAAACUUUAAAUGUAUUUCCUAACUUUAUUUAAACAAUUAAUUAAUUAAUUUUUUUUUAAUUUUCGAUAGGAUACAAUCUAAUAACCCACUUAAUACCUAUAUAUCUAAUAGGAUUUACAUCAAACAUCACACAAUAUUUGAUACAAAUUGGUUAUGUAUGUAUUUAUAAUUCUCAAAUGCGGAUGUCCUCGCAAGAAUUUUCGUGUGGAUAUGCACUUUCACGGUUUUUGUAGAAUAUUUAUGAUGUUGUAAAACUUUUUGCGAGAACAUGCAAGUACUUGUCCACAUGAAAUUUAUCACAGACAUCUACAUCUAAGAAGCUAUAUAUGUGUGUGUGCGCGCAUGUGUGUAAAUAAUAUAAUAUAUUAACAUUAAAAAACAAAAUAAUGAUAGAGGUACAUACAGUUUUGCACAAAUCGAUGUGGUAUAAAGAGAUUGACAAAAGUAUUAUAACAAUUAUUUUUUCAGUUAUACGGACCCAUGAUGGUUUUAUGUAACCAAUCGACCCAUGAUGGUUUUAUGUAACCAAUCCCAUAUGUCUACUAAAAUAUUACACAUUUACAUGUUCAUCCUUAAAAAAUUUAUAAAAGAGAGAGAGAGAGAGAGAGAGAGAGAGAGAAAUUUUAUUUUAAUUGGUAGCAUGUAAGUUUUUAUCUAUUAGUAGUAAUUUUUUUUUUCAAUUAGCAUCAAUUUAGAUUUUUAUCAAGGUAAUAACAUUAAGUUUAGAUUCUUUUAAUUUUAUUUAGCAUAAUUAAAAAUGUAUUCUUACAAUUUUUGUAGACGUCAAAAAGGUCAUAUUUUAAUGGGCUGUGUUAUAGGGUUCCGAUUGAUACAAUACAAUUAUCUCUUUCAUAAUCAUAUUAUUAAGAACUUGAGCACUAACUCAACAUGGAAAAAAACAAUUCAUGUUGACUCGGAUCCAGCCUAUUAAAUAAUCGCAUCAAUACGAUCCAGACUCAUUUAUUCGAAUCAUAUUCGUGCUGGGUAAAUGGGUCAUGUCAAAUUUUGCUAGCUCUAACUUCAAUACUAGAUUAACUAGGCAGUUGCCUAAGACCCGAAAUUUUAAAAAUCCCUCAAGUUUGAGCAUUUAUUUAUUAAUACACUUAUUACUAAUCAUUAUUCUUUACAAUUUCAUAGAUUUGUUUAAGUUAUGUUUAUAGGAAAUCCAAAUUUUAGACAUCUCCCUAUUAUUACUCUCAUUCAUAAUUAUCUAAAAGAAUUUUAAUUUCAGUACAAAUUCUAUUUUUGAUAAUCUAAGAUUUAUUGUUAAAAAAUUAAUAUUUGAUAAUCUUCACAAUAUAAUUAAUGAUUUUAACUGUUAAUUUCUUUUUUUGUUUAAUCUUUCCAAGGAAAAAAUUUAAAUGCUUCACUUUCCAGAAGAAAAAAAUACUCUAUUAAAAUUAUUUACCUUAGAAUUGACUCUUUGUAUUCUUCAAACUCUAAUGAAAACCUUAAAAUGAAUAUAUUUUCAAUCAACAAUAAUCUCAGUUAAAAAAUUUCUUGCUCCUUUUUUCUAGAAAGAAAAUGAUUCUCUAUGAAAUCUAUUUCCAUAAUCUAAUCAUCAUAUUCAUCUCAACUAGUCAAUUUUUAAGGUGUUAUCAUUCUAGUUAUACAAUUUAAAAUUAUUGUUAUUUUUUACGAAUUUUUUUUAUUAAUGUAGAGCUUGAAUAUAUUAUGAACUAUUUUAUAUUUAUUUGACGGUUGAUGUUAUUGAAUGUAUGAAGGCAUAAAAAAAUACUCACCUAAGAUCAUGAAUCCUUGGAGCCGGCCCUGUCUGAUGGUAUAACUAAGAGUAACCUUGAUUUAUUAGCUUGUUGUGGGAUUUUAAGGGGCCUCGAUGGUGGUUUUUAUUGGGUUGAAUGCUGCUUUACUGAGUGAUGUGACUAUAGAUGGCAAAUAAAUCUGGAUCUAACCCGAUCCGUAAAGAUCUAAAUUUGGAAAAAUCUUGAUUCACAUAAUAAUUAAUGUGGAUUUAGAUGUAAAAAUUUAGGACCCAUAAAAAUCUGAUGCACUUGCAUUGGAAAGACCGAAUAUUCGGUCCGCAUAUUUUUUUAAAAUAAAUUAAAUAAAAAAUAAAAUUUAUAUAAGAAAACACAAACUCUAAGCUAAAAAUGCAUUACACAUAUAUAUUGUAAUACACCCCAAGUACCCAUAAAUAUUAUUUUAGAAUAUUUUAGAUUUGUUUAGUAUUGGAUGAUUAUUUUUUUAAAAAAAUAGUUAAAAUAUGAGUAAUUUUACAUAUAAAUAUUUUUAAUGUGUGAACCUAGAUACCCGUAAUUAGGGGUGAGCAAAUACGGGCUUGGAUCAACCCGAUUGAAUUUUAGAUUAUUAUGUCUUAUUUAUUAUUUCUAAAUCUUGAAAAUUGUAUCAACUUUUGUGACUAUGUCCCUGAUUGUGAUUAUCUUAUACAACUUUUGCUAUAGUUUUUAAUUUUAUAUUCUGGGACCUUCGUGAAUUAGAAGACAUAACAAUCUUCGAAUACCUCGAUGUGUCAAAAAGGAAUGCAUUUGCAACGUAAGAUAUAUAUGAUCAUCACGAUCUUCAAUUCAAUAAAGCAGGUUACUAGCACUUUAAACUUGCAAAACUAUCAGGAUUUCCUAUUACUGCUUGGCUCAUUAUGUUAAUCGUUUUGCUUAUUUUCAGAUCAAAUGAUUCUAUGUUCUAGGAACACUACUAAUGGCACUUUGUUAAAUAAAUGCCUAGUUUUACAAUAUUAAUCUACCUGCAUGUGCGUACACUAAAUAAUUAACCAAAAUGGAUUGAAAACUAAAGAUGGUGAAUUGAAAACUAAAGCACAGAGGACAACGAUCAAAAUAAGAGAGUUGAAACGAGCCAUUAAUGUAGGUUAAUUUGGAACAAAUUUAGAUAUAUACUAUAAUUUUGAGGAUGAGUUUAAGUUAACAAAUUGGUAAAUGGGAUAGUGAGUAUCAGUAGUACUAUAUGUGUGUGUGUGUGUUAAGAAAGCACACACAUGUAGCAUAGUCAACAAAGCAGAGGGUUACAGUGGUUACAAAGCAAGGGAUUGCUGCAGCUAUUGCAUACCAUUACAAGUUGAUGAUAUGAGCUACCAGCUAGCACCUGGUAGUUACGUGACUACUUGUGCACAUGAUAGUCAGCUUAAUUAGUUAUAAUUUGUUGCAAUUAGGUGAAGUUAGUUAUAGUAAUUAGCUAAAGCUCAACACUGUAUAUAAACAAUUCAUGUGUACAUAUUUUUCUUAAGUUUCUAAUGAAUGUGAAAAAAGCUUCUAGAUUCAGUUUUUAUUUUCUUUACUUUUUAUUAAUUUUCUCAGUUUCCAAACACUCAAAUUGAUCUUUUCAACUUGGUAUCAGAGCCAAUAAUGCCCAUUAUGAAUCUUGCAUCUUCUUCUAAUCAAGUUCCUAAUGCUACAACUAACUCAACAAAUGUUUCAUUUACCUUUAACACACUUGUUAAGCUAGAUAAAUUAAAUUAUUUGAUCUGGCGAUCACAGGUUCUUGCAUCAAUUCGUGGUAACAAACUAAAAAAUCUCAUUGAUGAAACAAUUAAUCCUCCUCAUUUUCACAUCACUCAAGGAAUUGGUAUUAAUGCUAGAUCUGUGGAGAAUCCAGAUUAUGUAACAUGGAGAUCAUAGGAUCAGGUGUUGCUCGGUUGGUAGCUCUCUUUAAUGAAUGAAGGCAUCAUUAGUCUUGUGUUCAAUUUGGAAACAUCACUUGAAGUAUGAAAAGUUGUUGAGGUUCAAUUUGGAUCACAAUCAAAAUCCAAACUCCCGCAUCUGAGGUACAUGAUGAAUUUACUAAGAACGAUGAUUUGAAAAUAACUGACUAUUUCUCAAAAUGAAAACUAUAGCUGAUAAUAUGGCUGCAGCAAGAAGUGCAAUGAGUAAUGAUGGUUUGAUUUUGCAUAUACUCUCUGGCUUAGGACCAGAUUAUAACUCAGUAACUACUUACAUUACUAGACAAGUAGGUGCUGGCAAAAUGAAUAUUAAUGAUACUUAUGCAUUGCUUUUUGACUCAAGGAGCUAGAAUUGAACAAAAAGCUCAAAAGCUUGCUAAUAUGAAUGUGAAGCAGAAUUUUGAAACUAAUUUUGCACGGAAUAGAGGACCUAAGAAAGGAAAUGAAAGUGCUGGUAGUUAUGGCUAUACCUUUGGUUAUGGUAAUAAUGGAAACUUUGGUAAUAAUGGAUAUAAAAGAGGAUAUACGAGCUCUGGUUUUACUAGUAAUGCUUUUAGAUUCAAUCCUCAAUUUAGAGGUUUUCAAGGAGAUAACCAAAAAUGAGUAGGAAACUGAAACACCAAGGCUGUUAGUGUAGAUUUAACAAUGGAAGAGCACCCGGAAACCCUAAAUCUCAACAGAAUUCCUCUAAGCCAACCUGUCAAAUCUACAUGAGAACAGAAUAUACAGUAAACAUUUGCUGGAAAUUGGAAGACUUUAUUGCUUCUGGAUCCUACAGGCCACCUCCAAAUAGAAAUCCAACAGCUGCAUACUUGGCUGAUAUGGAAGGUCCUUCUGAUGCCAACUGGUACCUUAAUAGUGGGGCUAAACAACAUCUUACAAAUAAUAAGAACAAUAUGCAAAUCACAGACUCUUUUGCAAGUACAUCCAAACUUAUCAUUGGUAAUGGAAUUGGCCUGAAUAUCACACACAGAUUGGGAAUGCUACUCUUAGGGUGCAUGGUUCAUUAAAUUCCACCACUACACUUAAACUGAAUAAUAUACUAUUAGUUCCACAAAUAACCAAAAAUCUUAUAAGUAUAUCUCAAUUAAUCAAAGAUAAUGACAUUGUUGUUGAAUUUACUAAUAAGUUCUGUUUUGUGAAAGACAUGGUGAAGAAUUUGAUCAUACUAUAGGGCAAGGCUGAAAAAGGUCUAUACAGAUUGCUAUUGAUCUCCUCUAAUAAGAAUGUCUCUGCGUCUUCUACUCAAAAUCUUGUUAUUAAUGUUAAAUCAAUUGUCUUAAAUGUGUCUAUCAUUCCUCUUUCAAUGAUUUCAACUAUCAUUUCUGAUUCCAAUAAUAAAACAAUAGCAUUUACUGAUAGUGUAAACUUUAAAUGUUUGUUAAGUGCAUCUAUUUUACAUCAAAGACUAGGGCAUCCAAACUCUAGAGUACUAAAUCAUGUAAUUCAAUCAUGUUCUUCCUUUAAAAACAUAACUGGAAACAAAGCUUGUGAUUCAUGUGAUGCUUGUGAUUCAUGUGAUGCUUGUAAACUUGGCAAAAUGCACAAACUGCAUUUUCCAGUUACUGAAACUAAAACAAAGCAUCCUUUAGAAAUUCUUCAUACAGACCUGUAGGGACCAACUCUUAUACUUUCAACACAAGGAUACAGAUACUAUGUAAGCUUUGUUGAUGAUCUCACUAGGUUCUCAUGGUUCUUUCCUUUAAAAACUAAGGAUGAAACAUUACAAGUCUUCAAAAUCUUGAAAACUCAAAUUGCAAAACAACUAAAAAGGCCUAUUAAGUGUCUUCAUUUUGAUUGGGGGGGAGAGUUCAAACCUUUUGUCAAUUAUCUUCAUGAAAAGGGAAUUCAAUUUAAAUAUUGAUGUCCUUAUACUCAUAACCAAAAUGGUCUAAUGGAGAGAAAACAUAGGCACAUCACAUAACUAGGUCUUACUUUACUUGCACAGGCCAAUUUACCUCUUAAAUUCUGGUGAGAUUCUUUUCACACAGCUGCUUAUAUUAUCAAUGGAUUACCAACUCCCACAUUGUCUAUGAAAAUUCUUUAUGAGUCUAUCUUUCAUUUUAAACUAGAUUAUACCUUCCUUAGGACUUUUUUUUGUUCAUGAGCCUAGCAAACUCAUUGAGGUAAGGGGUCAGGUACUCUGGUCGGUCUUCCGGCAAUCGAUGUUUGGGUCCUGCUGGUGGGGGGAGCAGCAGGACCAGCAUCGCUCGAAGUUCCACUAGUUUCACCAGCCGUAGGAGGAGGAGGUGGCAAUGCCUUCAAAGGGGAAGUUUUCUCUAUAGCAUUGCUCGCUUUCCAAGGGGAGCCUCCUUGUUGCGACCUCCUUUAGUAACAUUAUGACGAGGACGUUUUCUACUCAAAGCCCCAAUCACAACAUCCUUCAUAGCGUAAGCGUCGGAUACCAAGCUAGAUUCAACCAAGUUACGAGUAGACAGCAGGUCUCUCCACGGGCAAGAAUUCGCCAACGCAGUCUCGACCUGCUUACGUAAUUCAAGUUUAAGGCCGUAAUGUACACCCCAAGAACUUGCAGCAUGAGCAGAGACCAUGUUAGAAAUAAUUAAGUCACUAGGACAGAUGGGGUGCAAUACAUCUAAAGCGAGCAGGCAACUUGGAACUGUGAAACGGGAGGGGACAUGAACGUUCCGACCAUUAGUCUGUGCCAUUUAACCCUAGGGACCCCCAACAAAAAAGAAUUUCUUUUUCCAAUUCCCACCACCACCUGUUGGGAGGUCAGUUAUAGGUUUUCUAUCUUGGUACUCGACAUGAAAAAAUACCAACAACAUCAUUAGGGCUGCUCUUUAGCUGAUACAGGUGUUUGACCUCGUCAACUGUUGGCUCACUCUGACCACACCUGUCCCAUAGAACGAACAGACCAAAAAGUACUCUCCAUCCAUUUUGGUUAAGUUGAUCAGGAGCUAAAUGUAAUCCACUAAGCAUUUUGAUGAAAUAAGGCUGCAAUGGAAUCCUCAUCCCCAAUUUAAAGCUUUCUAAAAACAAAGUAACGAACCCCUUAGGAGGUCGGCUGUGAGUAUUUUUUUUCCUCGGAAUUCUAAGGUCUAUACCACUAGGGAUCUUGUAAACGGUUCGAAGCUCCUCAAGGUCAUCUACUGUGGUUAAACAGGUCAUGAGGUCAAUAGGGUAAUGUUCGGCCAGAGUUCUACCACUUAAUUUCCUCUUUUUCUGUGGUCGUGCUAUUUCUGGUGAGGAUGCUUCACCAAACUCUUCACUUGGGUGGUCACUUAUGGUUUCCUCUAAGCCAAAAGAUCCUUCGUCGUUACUGUUGCUAGGCGAGGUGGUUACUUCAGGGGACAUCCUCCUAGCACUACUCCUAACACUAGAGGGUCUUACCGGCUCUAAGGGGAUCCUGGGGUCGAAAGCGGGCUCUGUGAGCAGAUCAGGCAGGAAAUCUAGUUCAUCAUCAUCAAUCUCAAUUACAUUUUCUUUGCCUUUUGACAUUUCGUAAACUAUAUCCAGAACAAUACAACCAAAUGCCACUCAACCCAAGAGAAAAUGAUAAUUAUCCAAGACUGAAAAAAAGGAAAUAAUACCUGAAGCAGUGGCACGCUAGAACAGAGGCAAGAAAAGUGGCUUCAACUUCGGUGGAGGAAGAUCGCUUGGUCACCGGAGGAUGAAAAGAAGACUAAAAGAGGAAACUUUCUUUUGAUGGUUAGGGUUCUCAAGUAACGCGGAAACCUUUAGUUUAUUAGCAUUUAACAGUACGCACUCUGAGGGUUUCAUAACCGUCAAUUUGAAAUUUAAACGAAUGGAUGGAUUCCUUCCACAUCACCCGCGUUUAAUUACAAUGCGACUCUUCAGGGAAACGAUUGUUAGCAGCUAAAAAAGGGAGUGAAUGUAGAAAGCGAGCAGUUCCUCCUCUCAACAUCAAAAAGUCGUAAUAUACCCCGAGCAAGCCAGGACUACUGAGUUUCUAGUAUUGAUCCAUUGCAUUACCAAUACCAGAAACUGAGGGACUGAUGUUUGGGGGUAUAUUAUGACGUGACCUGUCAUACCCCAAACGAGGAUUUAUCUUUCUCAUAAUUGAGGAGCAAUAUGACGUCCGAGAGCAGGCAUCCGGGAGCAAGAGUUUUCUGCUUGUUUACGAGGAUGCCCUUUGCUGGAUCGUAGUAUGAGCAGGUUCUUUGCUAGGCGCCGAGAACAUUUCUUGUUGAGGGUCGAAGUCAGCAGACCCAGUCUACGGCAGUUAACAGGACGUGCGCUACUAUCCGAGAAUCCAGGCACGAAGUCCACUCAGCCGCAACCAUAACAUUCAACCAUCCACUUCCAGGGACUCAGGUGAAGUGGCGAACGUGAGUCAUGGGGGGUCGAAUUCUCAGAAAGGCUAUAAAAGGGUUGGUUACAAAAAACACUAAAAAUUAACUGAAAAGAAAAUCCAGGGGGCGUUCUUAUUGAAACCUCGGGAGAAUCCAGACAGAUUACAGUACCUUAGAAAUAGUGAUAGAGCCACAAGAUUAGUGGCAAGUAUUUUCCACAGUAAAUCCCGAUUGCUGACUUGAGCAUCGGAGGGUUUACGCUGGGAAAAUCCCCGGCGUGCUCUGACUGGUUUUUUUGUGUGCAGGAGCUUAAAGAGAAAAUGCAGUAAACCUUCUGGUCUGAUACAGCUAGAAGGAGCAGCGCGAAAUCAUUCCCUAUCAACCAAAAAUUCAACUGUUGAAGAGGAAUCCUGGUCGUGCAUGAGUAGACCCGAAAUCUCGUAUGAACAAUAUGUAUAAGAAUAGUUGUCCAGGGCUCGAUCUAUUGACUUGAUCAUUGCAUAUUCUGGAAUUAAUCUUCCCUCCCAAUUGGAUCAUGACUAGUUAUUACCUCCACAAGUAUCUACGCAUCGAUGUGAGGAAAAUAAAAUUAACUAAAAGACAAACCAUUUCUUUUUGGGAAAAGGACAAACACACCCCCAACGUUUAGGUGAAGGGACAAAAAACCCCCUAACGUUUUAAAAAGACAUUUACAUCCUAAUUUAUUAUAAUUUUAUCAUUAUACCCUUCUAGCAUAUAAAAAAAUUAUUAAAUUAUCCAAUUUGUCUAUAUAUUGUUAAUAAAAUUGCCUAAACAUUUAUAUCCAAAUUCAAUUGAGUGUUUUUUAUUACGAAUUUUAAUAUCUAAUUCAGAACGAUUCUAUCCAAACUCAGCGUUUUUUAGUUAAGAAUUCUAAUCUCAAUUCCACUAUCUAUAUAUUGUAAUUGAGUUACGUUGAAAUUUUUAUAAUUAUUUUUUAAUUAUAUUUUUAAUUAUAUAGGGAAAUUCUCAAUUGUAUACCCUAUAGUUACUCUGUUAUCAAAAAUACUACAACACUUUAAGGGUAUAUCAAUCGUCCAUCCUAAAUUGACAAAAGCUAUCUGUCGACCACCAAACCGUUAGCUGCCGUUUGAAAGUUAACGGAAUUAUAGUGAAUUGAUAAUUUUAUCCUUGAAACUUAAAUUAAAGUAAAAUAAAAUUAUCACUUGUAUACCCUUAAAUUCUUUUAUUAUCACUUGUAUACUCUUAAAUUAUCACUUGUAUCAUAUGAAAAGACCAAAUUAUCCCUCUGGCGUCAUCCUAUUUAAACGGCAAAUAAUGGUUUGGUGGACGGCAGAUACAUUCUGUCAACUUAGGGUGGACGAUUGAUACACCCUCAAAGUGUUGUAGUAUUUUUUAUAACAGAGCAACUAUAGAGUAUACGAAUGAUAAUUUCCCAAUUAUAUAUGAACCUUAAUAUCAAAUUAUAAAAUUUUAUUAAAAAAUCUACGAUUAAAAAAUAAUGAAGAUAUAUUUACAUAUAGAGUUAAUGGAUGUAUUGAAUUAAGUGAAGAGGCAUUCUAGUAUUAACUACUUAGAUUUACAUAUUAGAAUUUUAAUAAGAACACAUUGUUAAGCUCUAACAAUUUAUUAGAAAAAAUAUCUAUAGUUAAUUUUUCCUAAUAGCUCAAUAUUUCUAAUAUUUUAAAAUAUAUCUCAACAUUACUAAUAUUUUAAAAUAUUAAAAUUUGAUGAAGAUGGGAUGAUUAUACUCUUAUAUUUAAAAAAUUCAAAAUAAGAAAAUCAAGAAUUUGUUUUUUAAGUAUAAGAAAAUCAAGAAUUUUUUUUUCAAAAAUCAAGAUUAUGUGGGUAUAAGAAAAUCAAGAUUAUGCGACGACAAAUUUUUCAAAAGAAAAUUAUUAUCCUAACUGCGCAUAAGGAAAAUGUUAUAUUUGUGACAUAGAGUCCCUCAAACUUUGUGAUCGACGAAUAAAAAUUUACAUAAGACUAAACAAUCGGUCAAAAAUAAUUAACUGCGUUUUCAAAUGUCCGCAGCCCUAUCUAACAAAACUACAUGAAUAAAGCAAAACCCACGUCUCCCUUCAGGCUCGCCUCUCUUCUUCGCCUCCAAAAAGACCCGAAACUCGCUCUGCAACUCUUCAAAAACCCUAAUCCUAACCCCAAUAACACUGAAGCCCAACCAUUAAAACCCUUUCGCUACAAUCUCCUUCACUAUGACCUUAUCAUCACCAAGCUUGGCCGAGCCAAGAUGUUUGGCGAAAUGCAGAAAAUCCUUCACCAACUCAAGCACGACACUCGCGUCGUUCCCGAGGAAAUAAUUUUCUGCAAUGUUAUCAGCUUUUAUGGACGUGCGCGAUUACUCGAACACGCACUCCAAGUGUUUGAUGAAAUGUCGAGUUUUAAUGUUCAAAGGACGGUCAAAUCUUUCAACACGUUGUUGAAUGCGAUGUUAACGUGCGGAAAGCUUGAUAGAAUGACGGAUUUGUUUCAAAUUAUGGAGAAAUAUGUUAGCCCAGAUGCUUGUAGUUAUAAUAUAUUGAUGCACGGUUGCGUUGUAAGUCGGAGAUUAGAGGACGCGUGGAAGGUGUUUGAUGAAAUGCUUAAAAGAAGAUUGCAGCCAACACUGGUGACAUUUGGGACGUUAAUUUAUGGUCUUUGUUUGGAGUUGAGGGUAGAUGAGGCAUUAAAGUUGAAGGAGGAUAUGAUGAGAGUGUAUAAUGUGAAGCCUGAUGCACAAGUCUUUGCGUCAUUGAUAAAAGGGCUUUGUGCGGUUGGUGAGUUGAGUUUGGCACUUGGGUUUAAAGAAGAGAUGGUGAGAAAUAAGAUUGAAAUGGAUGCUGGUAUUUAUUCUACAUUGAUCAAUGCGCUUUUUAAGGCGAGAAGGAAGAAUGAAGUUCCUGGGAUUUUAAAGGAAAUGAAGGAGCGUGGGUGCAAACCGAAUUCUGUGACAUAUAAUGCAUUGAUCAGUGGGUUUUGUAAAGAGAAGGAUUUUGAAGCAGCGUUUACAAUUUUGGAUGAAAUGGGGCAUAAAGGGUGUAAGGCAAAUCCUAUUAGUUAUAAUGUAAUACUUGGGGGGCUUUGUAAGGACGGAAAAUGCAAUGAAGCAAAAGACUUGUUUGAGGAUAUGCCUAGACAGGGCUGCAAUCCGGAUGUUGUGUCCUAUAGGAUACUUUUUGAUGGGCUAUGCGAUGGGAUGCAGUUCGGGGAAGCUGCUUUAAUUUUGGAUGAGAUGAUUUUUAAGGGUUUUGUACCUCGUUCUGCUCGUAUACAUUUAUUUGUUGGUCAGCUGUGUGAGAUAGGGAAUGUGGAGGUUCUGUGGACAGUUUUGAAUACCCUGAUUAAGGGGAACGUUAUUGAUUUUGAUACAUGGAGAACUGUGAUUUCUAAGAUGUGCAAGGAUGACAUGCUCUUGAAUGCAUCUCAACUUGUUGAAUCCUUGAUUAGGCCCUAAAUUUGAGACUCUGGUAACCAAUAAUAGAGAGUUUGCAAGUGCGAACACAUCUCCUAGUUGCUAGACGUGAAUCUUUCUAUCUGUCUACAUGUUCAACAAUCACCAUGUUCAUGUCCGUAGUUGUUUUGGUCUGCACAGGUUUUAGCUCACCGGCCAAGUUGCCAAGUUAGGAGUUUGUAGAAAGUGAUAAUACAUGAGAGGGUUAAUGUGUACAACUUUAUUAGCUUCAAUCUGAAAGCAAUUGCAGUUCUGGAUGGUUUGUGCAGUAAUUUUCAUGGGCGAUCUUCAUUUUGGCCUGUCAUGUAGUCAGAUGUUUCAUAAUGCUCAAAAUCAUUAUGAACGAUUCUCAGGUACGUGUAACAGGAUAGCCAGCGUAGAUUUGGCUUACUUAUUGAAUAUCUUGUCUUUUAGUAUAACCCAGAACUUUAUAUAAAUACGUCUUUUGUGAGACCUUUUGAGAAUCCUUAAGAUUAGUCCAUAUAUAAUUUGAAAAUCUCCUCCGAUAAGGCCCUCUUGGUCGACACAGCUAAGAACUUAAUUAUUUCUGGGCCGCCAUCAAGAAAAAAAAAUCCGAGAUCAGAUAAGAGAUCAUUGAUCACAUCGAACGAAAAAUACAUUAUUUAAUUACGGGUUAAUUAGGAAAUCAAACAAAGCUGACUUGAGAGAGGUGCACAUGUACGAAUCUCUUUAUUACAUCAAAACUAACUGAUAAUGACAAUAAUUAGAACGAGAAACAUAUGUAAAUGGCAAGAUUAUUCAAAUAAUCUACACAUUAGAACUUGGCCUCAAGAUCUUUCACCACAUCUACGUCCAGCUGGAAUGCCUUGGCAAGAAAAUCAGGAUUGAUCGGAGGAUUGGCUCCGAAGACCGAGUUUGCAAUGGUAAUGACACCAGGAUUCUGGCUGCUUAGAGCAGCGAUGGCAACUGCAUUUGUUUUUCCAAUGUUGAACUGGAAGUGAAUCAAACCAAUUGGAAAAACGAAAACAUCUCCCUUUUUCAGAACUUUUGCAACGAGUGUGUUGUUUAGCUGGUUAGAUGUCACAAAACCGACAUAAAGUGUUCCUUCCAAGACCGUCAGGAUUUCAGUGGCACGAGGGUGAGUGUGAGGAGGGUUUUGGCCAUAGGGUGCAUAGUCUAUACGGACUGCUGAUAUUCCGAGAGUGUUGAGUCCCGGAAUUUGCUCAACAUUUGCAUUUUUUACACUGAAACCAAGUCGGUUUGCUGUGUUUCCAGGCUUGUCUAGCCCUGAUAAGAAGAAAUCUCCUGGCCUGGCAAGCUUGGGGUCCUUGCAGAACUUCCCGUUGACAAAGACUGCGUCCAAGAAUUCAGAAUAUUAAUUAGUAAGGUGAAUUUGAGACCAACGUACACGUAUACAUAAACAAGUUUAAAAGAUUUUUUAGGACAGAGAAAAUUAAAGUGUAAAAAAUAUACCUGCGUUCUUGGGCUCAUCAAUGGCUACACAGAUAUCCUGAAGAGGACUAGGGUCAAAGGCAGAGGCCAAUGAAGAAGCCAAAAUCAAGAGAGCAAAACCUGUAAGAAAUUGAACAUUUCUCAUUGUGUUUAAUUAGCUAGCUAGCUUUGGGAUCUCACUCUGUUUAAUCUCUGAACUUAUUCUUAUUGGUUUAGUGCGAGGUGAGAAAUGUUGCAAGGUUAGCAACCCUAUUUAUAGAUGAGGAUUUAUUGAACCGGUCUUGUUUUCCCGAUCUUCAUUUUGGCCUGUCAUGUAGUCAGAUGUUUCAUAAUGCUCAAAAUCAUUAUGAACGAUUCUCAGGUACGUGUAACAGGAUAGCCAGCGUAGAUUUGGCUUACUUAUUGAAUAUCUUGUCUUUUAGUAUAACCCAGAACUUUAUAUAAAUACGUCUUUUGUGAGACCUUUUGAGAAUCCUUAAGAUUAGUCCAUAUAUAAUUUGAAAAUCUCCUCCGAUAAGGCCCUCUUGGUCGACACAGCUAAGAACUUAAUUAUUUCUGGGCCGCCAUCAAGAAAAAAAAAUCCGAGAUCAGAUAAGAGAUCAUUGAUCACAUCGAACGAAAAAUACAUUAUUUAAUUACGGGUUAAUUAGGAAAUCAAACAAAGCUGACUUGAGAGAGGUGCACAUGUACGAAUCUCUUUAUUACAUCAAAACUAACUGAUAAUGACAAUAAUUAGAACGAGAAACAUAUGUAAAUGGCAAGAUUAUUCAAAUAAUCUACACAUUAGAACUUGGCCUCAAGAUCUUUCACCACAUCUACGUCCAGCUGGAAUGCCUUGGCAAGAAAAUCAGGAUUGAUCGGAGGAUUGGCUCCGAAGACCGAGUUUGCAAUGGUAAUGACACCAGGAUUCUGGCUGCUUAGAGCAGCGAUGGCAACUGCAUUUGUUUUUCCAAUGUUGAACUGGAAGUGAAUCAAACCAAUUGGAAAAACGAAAACAUCUCCCUUUUUCAGAACUUUUGCAACGAGUGUGUUGUUUAGCUGGUUAGAUGUCACAAAACCGACAUAAAGUGUUCCUUCCAAGACCGUCAGGAUUUCAGUGGCACGAGGGUGAGUGUGAGGAGGGUUUUGGCCAUAGGGUGCAUAGUCUAUACGGACUGCUGAUAUUCCGAGAGUGUUGAGUCCCGGAAUUUGCUCAACAUUUGCAUUUUUUACACUGAAACCAAGUCGGUUUGCUGUGUUUCCAGGCUUGUCUAGCCCUGAUAAGAAGAAAUCUCCUGGCCUGGCAAGCUUGGGGUCCUUGCAGAACUUCCCGUUGACAAAGACUGCGUCCAAGAAUUCAGAAUAUUAAUUAGUAAGGUGAAUUUGAGACCAACGUACACGUAUACAUAAACAAGUUUAAAAGAUUUUUUAGGACAGAGAAAAUUAAAGUGUAAAAAAUAUACCUGCGUUCUUGGGCUCAUCAAUGGCUACACAGAUAUCCUGAAGAGGACUAGGGUCAAAGGCAGAGGCCAAUGAAGAAGCCAAAAUCAAGAGAGCAAAACCUGUACAUUAGUAAGGUGAAUUUGAGACCGACGUACACGUAUACAUAAACAAGUUUAAAAGAGUUUUUAGGACAGAGAAAAUUAAAGUGUAAAAAAUAUACCUGCGUUCUUGGGCUCAUCAAUGGCUACACAGAUAUCCUGAAGAGGACUAGGGUCAAAGGCAGAGGCCAAUGAAGAAGCCAAAAUCAAGAGAGCAAAACCUGUAAGAAAUUGAACAUUUCUCAUUGUGUUUAAUUAGCUAGCUAGCUUUGGGAUCUCACUCUGUUUAAUCUCUGAACUUAUUCUUAUUGGUUUAGUGCGAGGUGAGAAAUGUUGCAAGGUUAGCAACCCUAUUUAUAGAUGAGGAUUUAUUGAACCGGUCUUGUUUUCCCUGCUCGGAGCAGAUCGAUGAAGGCUUGCCCAGUCUUCAAUUGUUCAUCUGUGACUCUGUAAAAACUGAGGAAACUUGUCAUCUCAGUACAUUUUCUUCUUCAUUUGCUUACGUCAACACAUUGUUUUUGAAAUACUGAGUCAUGGCAAUCUAUUUGUAUAUUAUUAUAUUAUCUAAAAAUUUCAUUGACAAACUCCAACUUCCAGAAUAGUGAAUGUUCGUUUUGAUUCUUUACUGUUUUUUAUUAUGUUUUAAGCAGGUGCGCAAAUAUUUUUAAGGCUGGGCCCUAAAAAUUGAAAUUUUCAGAACUACUACUCACUUUUUGUAGUUACAUAGUGUGUGCCGUUGUAACUGAUAUGUCGCUAAUCAUUUUUUUGUAAUUAUUUUUUUAUCAUGUGUUGGAUAUUAAUUGCAUAUAUAUAUAUAUAUAUUUUAUCUUUUAUCAAACAGGAAUCUAUAACUUAUUAUAGUGCAAGCGUAGUUUAUCAUGUGUUGGAUAUUAAUUAAAUUUUAUUUUAUUUUAUUUUAUCUUUUAUCAAACAGGAAUCUAUAACUUAUUAUAGUGCAAGCGUAGUUCAAGUGCAUUAUUUGUUAUAUUUUUAAAAUUUUGAAAGUAAAUCAACCACAUAAUUCACACCGGCAGACUUGAAUGUUACCUAAAUGAGUCUGAAGGGAGGUUUUAUCAUUAAGCCAUUGAGUGGGAUUCGAGUCUUGGUUAAAUAACAAUGACUAAUUCUUAAUGAAGUGGUUACGUGCUGCAAAAUUUUCUACCGUCAAGUAUUAUGUGCCGAUCUAUCAUAAUCAUCAUUACAAGAAAGAACCUAAUCCAACUCUUCACAUCUACGAAUACUAUCUAAUUGAAUUAUGUAAUGCCAAGUGGUAUACAAAAUUCUUACACAUACUUUUUCCAAUUGAAGAAAACUACAAUGAGUGAUGACGAUAGUAAUGUUUUCCCUAGUAUAUUUUUAACCUUUAUGGUAAGUUUAUUACAGUACUCACUAAGUUUUGAAAAAUGUUAUAAAAAUACUCCAAAUGAAAUUUAGAAGUUCGAAAUAGCAGAAUUUGGUAAGACUUCAACGGACAUCUCGGAGAAUCAAGUUUAUUUAGCUAAGUUGUAUUGUUUGGUUGUCCAGAAAGUAAAAGAAAAAGACAGAAAAUUCUGAUUGAAGCAAAAUCAAUGAAUCUAUCUUAUCAAUUAAUCUGAUUACAAGGCUUUUUAUAGUUACAUCUGGAAUAUUCUAUACAUGCUAAAUGCAUGAGCUUAAGUAACAUAAUUGUGCUAACAAACUAAGCUGACUAACAAAAAUACAACUAACUUGCUAACUGGUACUGCCACAUCACCAUCCUAUAACUAACUUGCUGACUUGUAUUGCCACAUCACUAUUCUUAGCAUAUUCCUUAAUAUCCCCCCUCAAGCUUAAGGUAUGGGAAGGACAUUAAGCUUGUUGCGAAGAUAAGCAAAAGCAUCAAAGGAGAGAGGCUUUGCGAGAAUGUCAGCAUAUUGAUCUGAGCUGGAAACAUGAGUGAUUUGAAGCUGCUGCUGAGCAAUAUGUUCCCGAACAAAAUGAAGAUCCAGCUCGAUAUGUUUUGUCCGAGAAUGAUACUACGGAUUACUAGCCAAUGCUUCAGCACUCUUGUUAUCAUAAUAUAAAGUGGGAGUCUGAACUAAAGAAACCUUAAGCUCUUUAAAAAGAUAAGUAAGCCAUAAAACUUCUGAAGUGGCUAGAGCAAGUGCUCUGUAUUCAGAUUCAGCUGAAGAACGAGAGACUAUGUGCUGCUUUUUGAAGACCAUGAAAUAAGAUUGUUACCCAAAAAUACACAAUAACCACCAAUGGAUUUUCGAUCAUCAGGGUCAGCACCCCAAUCAGCAUCAGAAUAAGCAUUUAGAGUCAAGGAACCUCAGUUAAAAAACUGAAGACCAUAGUGUGCAGUACAUUGAAGCUACCUUAGAACUCGUUUGCAUGCUUGCCAAUAAAGAACAGUAGGUGCAGCUAAAAAUUGACUAAGCUUAUUCACCACAUAAGCUAUAUCAGGUCUGGUUAGAAUAACAUAUUGCAGAGAGCCAACAAUGCUCCUAUAUAAGGAAGGAUUGCUAAAUGCUGUACCUUUAUCUUUAUGAAGUUUAUCAGUGGUAUUCAUAUGAGUAUUAUAACCCUUGCUAUCCAGCAUAUUAGCCUUCUUCAAAAUGUCUCCAAUGUAUUUAGUUUGAGAUAAAUGCAGACCUUGUAUAGAAAGAGUGACCUCAAGCCCAAGAAAAUAAUUGAACUCACCCACAUCCUUAAGUGCAAAUUCUAAACUGAGAUUAUGAAUAACUUACUCAACAAGCUGAGAAUUUGAGCCAGUGAUGAGAAUAUCAUCCACAUAAAUGAGAACAAGUAAAAUAUCAUGCCCAAUAUGCUGAAGAAAUAAGGAAGUAUCAGACUUGGACAUAAAGAAUCCUCAGUUCAAUAAGGAGCCUUUUAAUCUGUCAUGCCAGGCUCUUAGAGCCUGUUGAAGACCAUAUAAAGCUUUGUUAAGCCUACAAACAUAAGAAGGAUGAGCAAAGUCUAUAAAGUCCUAUGUUUGGUGCAUAAAAACUUCCUCUGUCAGAACACCAUUGAGGAAUGCAUUAUUGAUAUCAAAUUGUCUAAUUGGCCAAUGAUGUAUAACUGCCAAGCUCAAGACAACUCUCACAGUGCAAGGCUUAACUACUGGGCUGAAGGUCUCAAAGAAGUCAACACCCUAAGUUUGAUGAUAACCCUUAGCCACUAAACGAGCCUUAUAUUUGGAUACAGUGCCAUCAGGUUUGUAUUUAACUCUGUAAACCCAUUUAUUACCAACAAUUUUAGUAGCUGUAGUAGCAGGAACCAAUGUCCAGGUGUUAUUUCUUUGCAAGGCUUCUAUUUCUUUUUUCAUGGCAGAAAAUCACUUAGAAUCUUGAAGUGCUGCUUUGACAUUAGCUAGUUCAAGGUCUUGAGAUACUGCUAAAUAGGUUUUGGGCUUAAAAAUACCAGCCUUAGCUCUGGUAAUCAUAGGAUGUGAGGGAGGGAUAGAGGGAGAAGGAAAAUAUUGAGAUAAAGAGGAUGAUACUGAAUGUGAACUUGAUGUUGAAGACAAAGUAGAUGCAGGGGUAGCAGUUGAUGAGCCUUCACGAUUACUGUCAACAGGAGUACAACUUUGGAGGAAAGUGACUUGAGAAUGUGUUUGAUAAGCAGAAUUAGACAUAACGAAAGGAGACUGAUCUAAAAAAAAUUCAGUAUAGGGAAAUUCAGACUCAUUAAAAGUGACAUGCCUAGCAAUGAAGACUUUGCCAGAUUUAUCCAAGCACUUAUAGCUUUUAUGUAAAGGACUAUAACCAAUGAAGACACUGUUUUGGGUAUGGAAAUCAAAUUUAUGUUGAUUAUAAGGUUUGAGUAAAGGAAAACAAAAAAAAAAACAAAAACUUUAGUAAAUUGGUAAUUUGGUAUUUGGUUAUGCAGCUUUUGAAAGGGUGAAAUAUUUGCAAGUGUUGGGGUAGGCAUCCUAUUGAUAUGAUAAAUGGUUGUACGGAAGGCUUCCCACCAAAAUGAAAGAGGCAAGUGAGAUUGAGCCAAAAGAGUAAGGAUUGUUUCAACAAUGUGUUUAUGCUUCCUUUCCACCAUUUUGGUGAUGAGUGUGAGGACAACUAUAUCUAAAUUGAAUCUCUUCUUGUUAAAGAAAUGGUUUAAAGGCUAUGAAUUCACCUCUCAUAUCAGAUUGCAAUGCUUUGACAGGUAAAGAAAUUUUUUUUUCCACAAGUAGUUUGAAGUGUUUGAAUGUGUCAAGGGCCUCAAAUUUUAAUGUUAAGGGAAAUAUCCAACAAUAACGUGUAAAGUCAUCAACAAAAGAGACAUAGUAUUUGUAACCAUCCAUGGACAGUACUGAGGCUGGACCCCAUAAAUCAGCAUGUAAAAGCUCAAGUGGAGAUUUAGUUUUAAUUUUAGUAAUAGGAAAAUGUAGCUGAUGUAGUUUGCCAUACUGGCAAGCAUCACAAAAACCAAUAGAGCUAUUGUUAACAGAAUGUAAAGGAAGACAUUUUAUUAUAGCUUGUAGAGUAUGUUUAUUAAGAUGACCAAAUCUGUUGUGUAACAGUUUGAUAGACUCACUUCCUGAAGACAGAAAACUUGCAAGAUAACGACCAAAAUUAAGAGAGUUUGACUCUUGUGAAGAGUUUACAAUUUUAUUGGUAGAAAAGACAGACAACAUAGAGCGAGGAUUAAGAUUUUGAUUUGCAGAUUCAGAGGAAGAUUCAGCUUGUGACAGUAAUCUAUAAAGACCACCUUCAGCAAUCCCCUGUGCCAGCAGAGUUGCCUCCAUCUUGUCCUUAAUACAACAAAAAUUGGAAGAGAAUUCAAUUAUGAUGUUGUUAUUUAAAAGAAGUUUAGAUAUACUGAUAAGAUUUUAGUAAUUUUAGGUACACAUAGAACAUUGGUAAGGCUUAAACUGGUUCCAAAAGAAGUUAAGAAGCAAGCAUAACCAGUGUAUAUAAUUUCAAGACCAUCACUAUUACCAACUAGCAGCAAUUGAGAUCCAAGAUAAGGUGUACCUUUAGUUAAGUUGUGAACAAUGUUUGUAAGAUGAUGUGUUGCUUCACUAUCCAAGUACCAGCCUUGAUCUGCAACACCUACAGAACUCACCAUAUAGGCUGCCUUAGAAGUUUAAUUUAUUGGAAAGUAACCCUGAGCUAGAAAAUUUGGAACAAAGUUUCUGUUAAAUCUAUCUCUGUAAUCUGCUGCUGAAUGAUUAUAUUUGAAGCAAAUCUGACAAAUAAUACUUCCUCUGCCACCUCCUCUGCCAAAGCCAUUAAAAGGACCUGAGAAACCUCCAUUUCCAGAGAAACCACCCCUGCCUUGAUUAGCAUUCCAACCUCUUUUUGAAUUUUGUCCAGAAGAAUUACCAGUACCAGAAAAUCCUCCUCUUCUUGAUCCAAAACCUCCUCUAUUGUUAAAGUUUCCAUUCCAGCUACCAUUUGCAUUUUUAUUUUCAUAAUUUCCAUUCCAAUUCCCCUGAUUAUUAUUAUUCUAGCCACCAUUAUUACUUUGCUUCUUCUGAUUGUUUCCAGCUUGAGCAACAUUAGCAGCAUAGUUCAUCUUGAUUUCCUUGCUAGCAUUAGAAUUAGCAUUUUCUAGUCUAGCCUCAUGAGUUAACAGCAUAGAGUAAGCCUUGUUUAUGCUCAUCUUAAGGACAUUAGCCUCAAUGUAAACUACAACAGGAUAAUAAGGCUGACCUAGACCAGAAAUCAAGUGAGUGAUAAAAUCUAAAGAACUUACUAGACUUCCAGCAAUAGCUAAUUCAUCUGUUAUAGUUCUCAAUUUUCUAAAGUACUCAAUGAUAGUCAUAGAUCUUUUUUUAAGAUUGUUUAACAUCAUUUUUAAAUGAACUUUCUUAGCUGCUGUUUCAUAUCCAAAUUGUUGCUCCAAACUUAUCCAAUGUUCACGAGAUGAUUUAGAGUUUACCACAAGAAUGAGAAUCUCAACAUUGAUGGAAGAAAAGAGCCAACUCAACAGCAUUUGAUCUUGCUUCUUCCACGCAGCAUAUGCAGGGUUCUCUGAGACAACUACAUAUGAGCUUCCCGAUUCAUUAGAGAGAAACUGAUUUGGACAUAGUUUUGAUCCAUCGAGUAAUCCUUCUAGCUCAUUAGCAUGAACUAAAGAAAAUAUUUGUGACUUCCAAAUUGUGUAAUUAGAUCGGUCGGGUUUGAUUGGAUUUGUGAAAGUGAAAGAUGAGACUGAAGCAGUGAUUGGAGAGAUAACGCUUGUAUUCAAGCUAGAUGAAGCCAUAGCAAAACUUGAUCGUAGCUCUGAUACCAAAACAAAGUUUAUUUAGCUAAGUUGUAUUGUUUGGUUGUCGAGAAAGUAAAAGAAAAAGACAGAGAAAAUUCUGAUUGAAGCAAAAUCAAUGAAUCUAUCUUAUCAACUAAUCUGAUUACAAGGCUUUUUAUAGUUACAUCUGGAAUAUUCUAUACAUGCUAAAUGCAUGAGCUUAAAUAACAUAAUCGUGCUAACAAACUGAGCUGACUAACAAACUUACAACUAACUUACUGACUUGUACUGCCACAUCACCAUCCUAUAACUAACUUGCUGACUUGUACUGCCACAUCACCAUUCUUAGCAUAUUCCUUAACACGGAGGCCCUUUUUUAAUCUUUCAUUACCGUUUUCAAAACAAUAUAUUAUACUCACGAAUCGAACGUAUCUCUAGCCCAAACAAAUAUACAACCAUAUCAAAGCCAGCACUAGCUACACAAUGUCUUACAUCAUGCAUGCAAUAUUCGAACAAAUCCAAAAGAUCUUAUCAAUUGAAUCAACGAACAAAGAAAAAAUGAGUUUUAACUGUUGAAUAUGUAUGCAAAAUUCUAGGAAUUUGCCGGCAGCAAUAGGAGAAUUAUCAUGCAAGCAUGGACGAAAUUAAUCCAAUUCUUACUAGCUACAUUAUUGCCCCCCGGCCGGCUGCGUAGUGCAUAUAUACCAAACCCAAAUUAUAACUUUUCAAAAUUUUAAAAUUGCUGACUUGAGCACACACAUGCAGCAUAGUCAACAAAGCAGAGGAUUACAGUGGCUACAAAGCAGGGGAUUGCAGCAGCUAUUGCAUACCGUUCCAAGUUGAUGAUAUGAUGAUAUGGGCUAACAUAUUUCUCCAUAAUUUGAAACAAAUCCUUCAUUCUAUCAAGCUUUCCGCACGUUAACAUUGCAUUCAACAACGUGUUGAAAGAUUUGACCGUCCUUUGAACAUUAAAACUCGACAUUUCAUCAAACACUUGGAGUGCGUGUUCGAGUAAUCGCGCACGUCCAUAAAAGCUAAUAACAUUGCAGAAAAUUAUUUCCUCGGGAAUGACACGGGUGUCAUGUUUGAGCUGGUGAAAGAUUUGCUGCAUUUCGUCAAACAUCUUGGCUCGGCCAAGCUUGGUGAUGGUAAGGUCAUAGUGAAGGAGAUUGUAGCGAUAGGGUUUUAAUGGAGGAGCUUCGGUGUCAUUGGGGUUAGGAUUAGGGUUUUUGAAGAGUUGCAGAGCGAGUUUCGGGUCUUUUUGGAGGCGAAGAAGAGAGGCGAGCCUGAAGGGAGUUUUGCUUUAUUCAUGACUUCAUGUAGUUUUGUUAGAUGGGGUAUUGAAACUUGAAAACGCAGUUAAUUAUCUUAGACCGCUUGUUUAGUC
rnacentral:lncRNA from 1 species